rnacentral:lncRNA from 1 species
AAUAUCGUCGCAAAAAUAGCAGAUUGAAAUAAAUAAUUAUAAUAAGACAAGGAAAAUAUUUUCAGGACAGAAACACAAGAAUGUAAUUCCGACUCACCUUCGUUAGCAUUCGUUUUGCUAGAAUGUGGUAGUGCCGCUGCCAAAUCCUUUGUCCAACCAUGGUUGCCACCAACACGUUGUAGAAUAUACCGAUUACAGUAAAUAGUCCCAACACAAUUAAAGCCAUUAUGAAUAAUAGGGGUAACCCAGCUUCGCCAGCACUUCCCAGGCAACCGCAUUCACCAGCUGCACUAGCACAGCUUUCAAAGCACGUGGUACAGUCGGUCCACAUACAAAGAGUGCCAUGCAAAUGGCAAUCAGCACACAUUCUGCAAGAAUGACAUUAUAUCAGCACGACAACUGACAAUACCGUCGCGAUGGCUACCGCUUCACUUGUAAUACAAUACAUUAUACACAUUUGCCUCCUAUUUUAUCAGCACGACAACCGACAAUACCUCCACAACUUGUACCAUAUAGUGUAACACCACCAUCGUAGACCAUCUUUAACCUCACUAAUAACAUUCAUUGUGUGACACAACCAAUACUUGUCUCACUACUUGGAAUAUUUAUUGUUUUACUAUAUCGCCGCUGCCACUAACGCUGCCACCACUUGUAACAUCGUGUUACGCCACCCACUACCAUUGCCAUCAUGUGUACCACUCUACCAUCUUUACACCACCACCAGCCACUAGCCUCCCCCACCAAAUCUGAAAUCACAAAAAUACCACAACUAACAACCAUCUUCCCAAACCACCAUCACUACUAUUAGAAACCAGAGCAAAAGGCAACUCUUUUUUGACUUGUGAGCCCCUCUCAUAACUAUCUCCAACAUGGACAUUAUAUAAAUCACUAUAUUAAAAAACCACUAAAAAUCUGGAAAAAAUUUCAAAGAAAUCAAAUUUGGGGCAACGUCGAUAUCGAGGUAAAGCAAUUUAGGGAUUCAGGUUAUAGUGGUGGCAGAACGAAAAGGAAAUGAGACUGUUAGAUAUACAUGCAAGAAGUGCCUUAUUCAAUGCAUACUGUCAAAUACUCUUAACAAUAUUCAAUAAUACUCACUGUACCUCGAUGUGAGAUGUUCUCUCAAUAUAUAGAACCAAAUCAAAACUAAAUAUGAAACUAUCAAUUACAAUAUUCAUUAAUGGUAACCUACUAAAUAUAAAGAUUGAUGCUUUGUAUUCUUUCCUUAUAUUUCACUUACAUUCGCCUCAAAUUGAUGUUGGUAAAAGCAUCAAUUUGCAAUUAUGAACAGGCGACGAUAACAAUACUUGUGCCUAUGAAGAAGAAAUUCAAACCAGAGCAACCAUCUACGAAAAAUAAUAAUGACAAGAGACCAAGAACAACAAAUAGUGCUGAAACAACCAAGAACUACUCCAAAACCAAUCCAAUAACACUCCAAAGCCACUCUAGAGAGCUCACGCUCCAAGAAAAAUUUUCAAAAGAAAUUCACAAAGUGUGCCGACACACAUAGGGAGCUUUAUCUGUCAGGAGACCUCAGCACAACACAUAACUCGUAUUCCGAUAAAAGCUCUAACCCCAAUACACCAGCCAAAAUUUCAACAAUAUAUUGCUGAUCAAGUUGGAAGAAAUUUCACAAUAUAGGAUACACUAAAAAACUAAGAUGACCAUCUUCUGAGAAUCCAAAAACCAACCAAGGUUGAUUUUCCUCCGAGAAUCCAAAACUCUAGCUCACCAUCCAAGCAACCAAAACUCAAAGGUUUGCACUUCUAUGUCCCUUUCUCUUCCCUAACCCAAAAACUUCUUUUUUUUUCUUUUUUUUUUUUUUUUUGUAAAUCCAAAAUAACAAGCCCAUAAUUCCCCACAUUGCUAGGCAAGUUUUGUGCAUCAAUCUCCUUAUUAUACCCGAACAAGCCCUAGCCCAAAACUCUAAAAAGGGGGGAGGGGGAGAUCACAUAUAAGGUGUUAUGUUUACCUCAAUUUAAAAAUCAAGUAAAUAGUUUGAAAAUUCAAAAAUCAGGUAUGCAUUUGAUUAAUUAAAAAUAUUUACUAAAUAAAUAUAAUAAACUCAUAGUUACAUGAUUAAUGGUCACAGAUUAAUAAUUAUAGAUCAUAGUUUUAUUUAUUGAUCACAUAUUGUCAAAUUAAUUGAUCAUAGAUUAUUUCGCAGUCACAAAUCAAAAAUUUUGUAGGUCACAUAUUAUUUCGAGAUCACAAAUCAUUUAAAUUACAGGUUACAUUUUGGCUAUGGGUCACAUAGAUCACAUUUUAUUGGUCACAAAUUAUUUUUUAGUCACAGGCACCUAAUAUUUGGUCACAUAUGUCUAAAUAGAUGGUCACAGAGCCUAAUUAUUGGUCACAAACAUCUAAUUGUUGGUCACAGACACCCCAUUCGUCUCCAUCAUCACCACAGUGCAUCAUCGUCAACUACGACACCAUCGCAUGUACAGCACCACAGCCACCAACUCACUCAGCCAUAUUGCCACACUACACCACACCGCCACCACACCAUACAAUACCACCAAAUUGAACUCGCCAAACUACACCACACCGCUCACAAUGAGCGUUGCACCGCUGCAGCGAAAAAAACCUAACAUUGAACUUACAGGUACCGCAAUCUGAAGUUGUGAUUGCAGCGGUCAUUGUCGCAUUGUCAUCACCGUUGCAGCGACAAGACCUGAAACUAUUAUAGCACCAUCAUCUACAGCGGUCGAGUACCAGUAACUUCAUCUUGGCAUCCCCACCUAAAAAAUCUUUAAAGUAGCAGCUACGCACACCAAAAAAAUCACCAUUGCUACAGCAUCGGAGCUCACGCUGUGAGCAGCGCAACCCAAAAUUGGCAUCACCAUGGCUACAGGGCUCAAAUUGUCACGACGAUCUGGAAGCGGUGCUUAUAUCAGGUCUGCCCGGCACUGUUGCAUUGCACAAAACAAAUGCCGGAGAGAAGAUGGCUGCUGUCACUAUGUGUGUUUAGAGAGAAAAGAGAGAGACGGGAAAUGGGUUUGAAAUGUACUCACAGGUGAGGGGACCCAUGAUUUUUUAUUCAGCGUGGGCUCCCUUCCUAUGUGUCUAAUUAUCAACCGGGGUUGUACACAUAGCACAACUGAUCAUGUGCCUCUAUUGUAACCACGGUCACCACAAUAUCCCCGAUCGCCACCACCAUCUUAUCCAUGGUCACGCUUCCACCAUAUCCGUUACCAUCCUCACGACGACCAGAGUGGAAUCCACCACCUCCGUCGUGGAGACACAAUACCGAGAGAUCAAAAUUGGCCACAGUAGCCUUUUCAGCUUCGAUUUCUGUCUUUCCAUACUCCUACUUCUUACUAAUCCUCACCUCACCGCCCAUUUUUUGCACAAUCAACUGCAGUCGACUCAACAUAGUCCAUGAACCAGCUAGAAAACAAGGCGCAUCCAUUGCGGGGACGCUGUGUGGCCCAUAGGAAAAAUUAAUUACACACGGGUUCAGCUCAGCUAUGGAUUUGAGGGACGUGCCGUUGAUGCAGAGCGAUAACACAUCGAGGGCCUGAAUUCUUUGAGUUAUAGGGUAUCCAAUGAUAGAAGAGGGUUGUGAAAAGGAUCAUGUUUAUUAAAAAGUAAUUAGGCCAGGCUAGCAGCACAAAACUGUUCGUUGAAAUUCAAGAGUAAAUUUGUUUAGGAUCGGAAUGGCUUUGAUACCAUGUCAAAUAUACUAAAUGAUACUCAAUAAAACUCGAUGCCCCUCGUUGUGAGAGGUUCUCUCCUUAUAUUAAGCCAAAUCAAAACUAAAUUUGGAACUAUCAAUUAAGAUUGAUGCUUUAUAUUCUUUCCUAACAUUCCAUUAAUAUAUAUUAAGCUAAAUGUGGCUCAUGCAAGAAGCACAUUAAGCAAGUAUGGCUAAUCCAUGUUUUGAGCACUAAGAAAUAUUAAAUUGGUUGUUAAGAUUUCAUAAAGGAAUUCCUCACUACAUGGUAAACAACUAGAAAACAAAAUAAGGUUCACACUCCACAACACUCUCAUACAUGCCUAUUCGAAAUCAUAGUUGAGAUAGCCAAAAUGAUGCAUCACCUCAGUCGAGGCAUCAUAUCGAGACCAACCCUCCAUUGCUUAAAACGAAGUGCUAUAGUUUGCCGUAGAGUAAAUUUGAGGCAAUUAACCUUUAAUGAGAGAAGACAUCUCCCACUUUACCUAUUUCAAUAGAUCUUCAUCACAAAAUCUUUUAAUUAAUUGAUGAGAUAGCUUUCCAGCAAAUAUAUCAUGAUCAACUUGUCAAUAUAUAGAGCGGCUACUUUUCAAAGGUCAGACCUAGGCUAUAAGAUUAUUGCUUUUUAGAAACAUUAAAUGCCCUCAACCUAGCAUUGAUGGAGUGACAUUGAGGAAAAUUCAAUACCAUCAGAAUGAGGCCACAUGUUUUUUCAUCUAACGAGCAAAUAUUGCUCCUAUUCCACUGUAAAACUCAUACUUAAUGCCAAUUUGAAGGUAAUGAAAUUUUACAACCCCAAUAGAAUAUUGUUCUUUCAUUUUACUCUUAUAUACCCUUGGUGCUUGAAUACUAUUGUGGUUCAUGUCUUCCAUAUGUCCUACACUCAAAUAUAGUAAACAAGUUGAUUGAUUUGACAAUCUGAGUGCUAGCAACUAUCCCCUCCACCUUCGAAGAAGUCCACUUCUAAUAGUUAGUCCAAAUGUGUAGAAUAUGGGCUACAUAGACGUAAAUGGAGCAUGAUUUGUUGACCACGUCACUCGUGCAAAAAUUGAGGUCAACAGUAUCCUUUAACAUUUAACCCAAGCAGAUAUGAAUAUAAAGGUACUACAUCCAAACACGUCAAUUCUUAUUUGAAAAGUUGAAUAUUAGUUCCGUGUAAAUUUUCUUUUGCAAAUGAAAACUCGGUGCUAAAGGAUGGGGACUUGAAAGCUAUCCCCUAAAUUGUUACUUUUGUUGCACUAAGUUAUCUAAUAUUAAUGUGGAGAUUUGAUGGACUAUAAUGCCAAACUCAUCUUAGAGUGAUGGUGAACUUAAACAAAGACUUUACGCCUUGGGCUAAGUUUGAAGAAAGCAAGUAGCCCAACUCUGAAACAAGUAACCCAUGACCCGAAUCCACUUGCUGUUGCUAUGAAAAUAUGAUUUCAAUCGAUUUGCCACCUAAUAUCAACUUUGACCCUUGUGGUGCAUUCUUGGAUCAGGGAGAAGAUCUAGGAUGGCAACGAUGGUUUUGUAAAGUAAUGAGUUGCCCUGAAUCCCUCAUUCUGUUCUACUGAUUCUUUUCCUUCUUCUUCUUCAUCUUUUUCCCCUUGCUGCAAGGUGAGCUUUUAAUUUCCUUUGUGCAAUAGCACUCUUUUUCAGUUUUUUGAGUGCUUAAGACUAGAUUAAAGGAGACUCUCUUUCACUCUUCGUCUUUUGAAUUACUAUAGCACUUGGUGGGCUUUAUUUGAACAAUCAAUUGAUACACCUUGGUGGCUAGGAACUUCGGUGCAAUUGUCUAGGUUGUGUUCUUUUUUUAUUGUAAAGUUUUGAUUUCUGUUCAUGCGUUAAAGGUUGUAUAAUAAUAUCUAGUCACGAAACUUUAACAUGUUUAUUUUCAUUAAUCAUUAAAAUAGAUCCCAUGAGUCCAAACUAAUAGUGAUGUUUAUUGGCUCACAUGAUGCUUAUGAGAUAUAAUUGUGGACAUUAUUGUCUAGAUCGACAAGGUUUUUAUGAACAAAUUAGAUGUCUUUCUUGAACAAAGAUGGCUUUGUGAUGCAAUAUAUUUGGUGGCUAUCAUAAGUUCUUGCACAAAAGGUCUAUUGGUGGUGGAAUUUGAUAUUUGAUAAAUGUUUUAGUCGUGCUUCCAAAAUGGACAUUGUACGCUAUUACUCUUAUCUCUCAUGAGGAAACACAUUUCCAGAUUCACAAGCACGACUCCAAAUUUUACUUCUGCAUUUAUUUCGUCCAAUAUAUAUAACAUGGCUACUAUUAUUCUUUUACUUUGAUUCCAAUUUGAUGUACUCUCUAAUUUUAGUAAUAUUAUUAAAAUAUGAGAUGGUAGAUAAUAACGAUUCUAAAGGUGUUGACCUAGAUGUGAUGUUCAUAUGCACCUACUGAUUCCUCUUCCAACAAUCUUACGCAAAAAAAAUGAAUAAAAUAAUUUGUUGUUGAACAAUAUCUAUUUUGUGUUGCUUGGCCAUGUAUGGUUAACCUUAGAUUUUUUGGGAGUAAUGUCAUUUAACAUAACUAGUGUCCAGUCGAGAUGGUAGCACUAUUGACAUUAAAUUAUACAUUCAAUUAAAUACAAGUAAAUAUGACUCAUUUGAUAGGAUCUAGAUAGCAUUAUUCUAUUUUGGAUGGAGUCAAUCAUAAUUUUUUGGAAUAAUUAACAUAACAUAGUAUGUGGCAUACGCCUCAUAUUGUUGACCAGACUAACCUCAUCGUUAGUUUCUCUAGACAAUUGAUUUUAGUAACUAAGGAUAUGGAAGUAAAAAAAUAAAUUAUUUAUGAAAUAUUGAUAUUGAAAGUUCACAUACUAUUUCCCAACAUGCAUAUAAGAUUGAGGAUGAACCAAGUUUUUAAGUCGGAUGAGAACGAUCGUCUAGCUAAAAGUGUUUCUUUGAAGUAGACAUUGAAUGUGUUUUGCAUGAGAAAAAAUCUCUGUUAUAAUUCGGAUCAGAUCUAGAACUAUUUUAUUGAAAGUAGAACAGCUUUGGUACCACUUUUUGGAGAUGGAGGUUAUAUGACUUAAUAUAAAGUAUAUGAUCGCACAUAGAAAACAAGUCUAAAGUUAAGAAAUUGAUUGUUAGGGGAACAAUAUUUUAUUCAACAACCAAUGAAGAAAAUAAUAUUAUUAUAGUAAUACUUAAAAUUGAAUGAAGAGUCUACUAUUUAUAAGGAACAUGUCAAUACCUUAGAAAUAACUUAAAAGAUAGAAACUAGAUCAAAAUAUGUGUGAAAAAAAAAAGGAAAAACAAAUCUCACACGACGUCGUCGUUCGAGCGCUGUUUAGCACUAGGCGAGCGAAAGCUAGGUGACAGUUUUCUGCUCCAAAAGUUCACCUAUCGCUAGUAACCAUCCAGUGCCGAAAUUUUUUUUUUACUUGGACCCUAUUUUGAUAUCUUGAAGCCCAAUACUCCAAAUCAUGCAAUCGUAGACUGAAUGUGGGUCAGAUUUUCAAAAUUUUCACCUUGACACAAAAUUUGGUACAAGGAACGAAAUUCCAAAAUUUCUCAACCUGGAAAAAAUAAGUUCGACUGCAAUGAAACAAACUGAACCUUUAACCCGAAUCAAACAUCUGCAAUAACACAAAAUUUACUCUUCCUCUUCCACAAUAUCCAACACGGAUACACAAACCCAAACAUCAGGUUUCCAAAAAUUCACAAAAAAUUUAGAAAUUACCAAACAGGGUUGAAGCACACCAUGUAAUAGAAUCAACUUUUAAUGCUUUCAUUGCUAGUCUCGACACCUUCAAAAAUCCUAAAAAAUGUGCAACCAAAUCAGCAUCCCCGUACCUAUCUCAAAUGGGUCUCUCCCUAGCAAUUGAAUACGAUGGAACCGUGAACAAUGGCAGUAAAGCAAAAUUAUCGAUGUCCUCCAAACUCAACCGAGUAGUAUUUUUCAAUAUGGACCCAAAGCCAAAUUCUAAAUGUACUGCAUCAAAUUGAAUAUCUACCACGAUACUAAAUCUAUGUUAACUUUUCUUUAUUGAUUCUACCUCACCUUGCAAGAUGUAUAAUCGGGACCUCUUCUACCCCUCCAAUACAAUAAGGACACUUUUCGAACCUUCAAGAUUCCAUUUGCUUUAAAGAACAUGGACCCUUCUAAUUAAGAGUACUCAAUAAAAUGAGAUUCUUCUUCAAAACUGAAAUAUGUCGAAUAUGAUCAAGUGUUCUACAUGUCCAUCUAUCAGCUUCAAUUGAUUGGUUGAAAGGCCUAAAAGAGAACGUUGUUUUGGAGGGGGUAUGAUGCCCCUUGGCAAUCUUAAUACGAGCUAUCUGACAAGAUUUGUUUUACCCAUGACAAAGACACAUUGGUCGUCGUUUCAUAUAUUUCAAACAAAUCCCAAUUGGGAUAUAUAUGGAACGCACAAGCUGUAUCCAAAAUUCACUUUUCAUCAGGUUUGGAUUCUACAUAAGAAAUCGCGAAGAGAUCUCCAUCACUCAAAUAGUCUUCAGCUAUGUUGGCCUUAUCCAAAGUGUUUGAUUUCUUCUCAUAAUAUGUAGUUGAAUUAUCUUUACUCUACAACUUCAAUCUCUCUUAAUAUGUCCUUUCUUUUUGCAAUAAAAACAAAUCCGAUUGUUGAAACUCAACCUCGACUUACCCCUUCGCCGAUCUCCAUGAACCACAAGACUUUCUCCAUCUCUGGACUCAGAUCUAACUAUAUGCUUCAUUUUCUCCUUUGAGAAUAGGACAUCAUGUACGUCUUUAAUGGUGAGAGUAUCACGACUAUACAAAAUUGUGUCCCUAAAUAAAGUAAACAAAGCAGGCAAGGAACACAACAGAAUUAAGGCCAAAAUUUUUCAUUUGUACUUUACCUCUAAUGUCUCCAAAUCAGUGACAAUUUCUUUGAACAGAGCCAAAUGAUUUUCCAAAGAUUCACCUUCUGCCAUGCAAUGAGAAUACAACAGCUUCUUCAGAUGCAAUUUGCUUAUCAAACUUUUGAUCAUACACAAUUGCACAAACUUCAACCACAAUGCAGUUGUUGUCUUCUCCUUUAAAACAUCUUGAAGAAUAUUGUUAGAGAGAUAGAGAUAAAUAUGUAAAAAUGCCUUCUUAUCCUUUCAUAGCUUCUCCUCCGUUGUCCAAAUUGUGGAUAUUUUGUCAAAUCCCAACAAAGCAUCAUCCAAAUAAAUAUGUGUCUAUAUAGCUUGCAUCUUCACUUGCCACAAUAAAAAUCUUAUAUUGCGAUCCAAAAACGAAAUUUUAUACUUCAUAACUGCCAUCGAUAACAAAAACCUCGAACAAAAUCCCAACCGAUAACUUUGAUACCAAUUGUUCUAAUUCGGACCAGAUCUAAAACUACUUUACUGAAAGUAGAAUAGCUUUGAUACCACUUAUUAGAGACGAAUGAGGCUAUAUGACACAAUAUUAAGUGUAAGAUCGCAUAUAGGAAAUAAGACUAAAGGCAAGAAAUAGAUUAACAGAUGAAUUGUAUUUUAUUUAACAGCCAAUAGAGAAAAUAAUAUUGUUACAACAAUACCUAAACUUGAAUGAAAAGUCUACUAUUUAUAAGGAGUAUGUCAAAACUCUUCGUUUCUUCUAUGUUGUCCAUGUGAUUACUCAUAAUCAACAUGUCAUCAACAUAUAAGCAUAUAAAUGUCACAUAAUUUCCACAUACUUUGAAAUAUAAACAUUUAUCUACAAUAUUAUGCUUAAACUCGAAUGAUAUAAUUGCUAAGCUAAAUUUCUCAUGCCAUUUCUUAGGUGCUUGCUUCAAUCCGUACAAGGAUUUCACCAACUUGCAUACCUUAUGUUCACUUCUGGGUAGGACAAACCCUUCAAGUUGUUCCAUAUAGACCUCCUCGUCGAGAUCUCCAUUUAGGAAUGCCGUCUUGACAUUCAUUUGAUGAACAUGCAAGGAAGCUACAGAGAAUAAUAUCCUAAUCGAUGUUAUUCUAGCAACCGGUGCAUAGGUAUCAAAGUAGUCAAUUCCUUCCUUUUGCCGAUAUCCUUUGGCUACUAGUCUAGCCUUGAACGUAUUUAAGGAUCCAUCAACAUUAUAUUUUUUUCUAAAUACCAAUUUACAUUCUAUGGGUUUGGAUCCCGGUGGUAGUUCGACAAGAUCCCAAGUGUUAUUGGACAUUAUCAAAUUCAUUUAAUCCUUAAUGGCAUCCUUCCAAAAGAUGUUAUCACGCGAAGUCAUAGCUUCUUUAUAAGUCUUAAGGUCAGAUUCUCCUUGUAGAACAAAAGGAAUUGUCCUUACAACAUUCAACUCAUUUCCCUCUACCAAGUAGAAUGAGAUAAGUUGAGAAUCAAUUUCAUCCAGUCUCAAAGACUUCUCAACCCGAGUUCUCUUGCUUCUUCGUGGUUCUCUAGAUUCAUCAACGUCUUUUAAAGACGUUUCAUAAUGCGCUCUACUUGAGCUAGGGAUAUUUUCAAAAUUUUCCCUCAAUUCAUUAUCCGAAGAUAAUGAAUCCUCAAAGAACUCCACAUCAUUGGAUUCGAUAAUCACAUUGGACUCCAAAUUCAGCAAUCUAUAAGAUUUGCUAUUAUUUGAAUAUCCCACAAAAGCACACUUAAUGCCUCUUGGACCAAUUUGGUCCUGUUAGAAUUUGUGUUCUUGCUAUAAGCAAGACACCCCCACACUUUGAUGUAUCCAAUGUUUGGUUUUCUUCCUUUUCAUAAUUCAUAUGAAGAAACUUUGGUAUAAUUCGAAGGAAUUCUAUUAUGUAUUCUACAUGCACUCAACAAAUCCUCACCCCACAAAUUAAAUGGUAACUUACCAUGAAUAAGCAUGACAUUUAUCAUUUCUACAAAUGCUCUAUUUUUUCUUUCAGCCAAGCCGUUUUGUUCGGGUGUCCUAAGUGCAGAACAUUGAUGAAUAAUUUCAUGUUGUUCACAAAACAAAUUAAAUUCAUUGGAGAAAUAUUCACCACCUCUAUCACUUAUGAAUGUUUUAAUUUUCUUUUCUAGAUAAUUUUCAACCUCGUUUUUGUAUACUUUAAACAUAUCAGAAGCUUCACUUUUAUGUUUUAUCAAGAAAACAUACGUAUAUCUAGAAAAGUCAUCAAUGAAGGUAAUAAAGUACCUAUUUCCACCUCUAGUUAACAUGCCAUUCAGUUCACAUAUAUCGGUGUGAAUAAGUUCUAAAAUGUUAGAAGUCCUUUUUAAACUAUGGUAAGACUUUUUGAUCAUUUUAGAUUCAACACAAAUCUUGCAUUUAUUUUCAUUAUUUCCAUCAUUUGAGAUCAAUUCACAAUUUUUCAUGCGUUUCAUGGUACUUAUUCCAACACGACCUAAUCUAGCAUACCUUAAUGAAAAUAAAUCCACAACAUAAGCGAAAUCAGUUUUAUUUAUUUCAUUAUCAAUAGUACAUAACUUGAUCAUUCCUUCACAAGAAUAGCCCUUUCCAACAAAUUUCCCAUUGAGGGAUAAUACAAGUUUACCGGACUCAAAGACACUUUUAAUACCCGAUUUUCCCAAGAGAUUUCCACCCACUAGUUUCCUAUUCAUAUCCGGAACAUGUAGCACAUUUGUGAGAGUAACGUUUUUCCUGGAAGUGAAGAUAAUGUCUAUACUUUCUUUUCCAAUCACUUUGGAUCUCACCUCAUCACCCAUUUGGAUCUCUUGGUCUUCAUCCAUUUCAUUAUAUAUUUUGAAUAAAAAUUUGUCAUAUGAUACAUGUACCGUGGCACAAGUAUUAUACCACCAGCCGGGAACCUUUUCCUUAAUAGCAUUUAUCUCGCUUACGGUGGCCACAAUUUUUUCUUCUUGGAUGAAUUCACUUUACCUUCGGAGGUGUUGUGUUUUCGGUGUCUACAAUCUUUUGCGUAGUGUCCAGAUUCUCCACAAACAUAACAUCCUCCUUUGGUCUUCUUCUUGGACUUGUUAACGUUCCUUGAAGGCUUCAUCUUGUUGGAUUUUGUAGGCAGAUCAGAUUUCUCAAUAGCAUUAGCCUUGGAAGUUCCCUCCAAAGAGUUUUCACUCUUGUCACGCAAUUGGGAUUCUUCCUCAAUCCGAAGAUGUUCUUACAAUUGUUAAAAAGAAUAAUCUUCGGAACUAUGCAUAAUUUUCUUCCGGCAUCCUUUCCAAGUCCCCGGGAGUUUAGCAAUUACAGCCCCCACUUGAAAAGUCUCCGGGAUUUCAAUCUUCACCGCUUUCAAUUUAUUGACAAUCACUUGCAACUCGUGCACUUGGGGAAGUAGGGGGAUAUUUUCUAAGAAUUUAAAAUCAAAAUACUUAGAAACCAAAAACUUCUUUGUACCUUCCUCUUCCGCCUUAUACUUACUUUCCAAAGCGCUCCAGAUUUCCUUCCCCGAAGUUGUAUUUGUAUACAAAUCAUAUAAGCGAUCCAACAUCGCAUUCAAGAUAUGACCAUUACAAAUCAAUUCAUCUUUUUAGCGUUUUUGUCUCUCGGCCUUGAUUGCUUCGGUCUCUUCAUUUUUGGGUUCUAGCAAAGGCCCCAAUUUUGGAUCAAGGAUAUAAAAAAUCUUCAACACCGUUAAUAGGAAUUUCAACUUGUCUUGCCACCGCGUGAAGUUCGUCCCGUCAAAACGAUCCAAUCGAACCAGAUCUUGAUUCAUAAGUUUAAUGGUUGCCAUGGUUGUCUCGUUCUCCAUCAUAGGAUAGUAUAGCUUGAGAUUGUUGGAAAUAUAUAGAGGAAUGAAGAAGAGACAACAAAAAUGAAAAUGUAAUCACAAGUUGAAUUAAUAUCCAGAAAUUUGAAGAAAAUAAAAUGGAAGGCUAAAACGCGUAAUCGCUGUCCUCAAACUAUAUUUGCCUACUCUCGAGAUUGAAUGAGAUGCUUAAAGAUCUUUGGCAAAUGGUUUGUAGGAUAAUAACAAGCCUUGUAAAAGAUCAAGCACCAAAGCAUAAGUGCGAUCCUCCAAAACUUUAAGAACACAAAAAAGAAAUUGAGUAUGAAUAUCAAUCAAUUGUUUGAUCUUUGAUUUUAGAAUGAGUAUUGAUCACAAAAUGUUAUUCACAUUAUUUGGCUUUAGAUUUAUCACCUAUUUAUAGGCCAUCACCAAGUGUGCAUGAAAUGGUGACAAAAUAGGUUGAAAAGCCACCACUUUUGAAGUUAUAGCGGUAGAAAAACGGCUCCCAACGGUCACAGGAAAUCACCAUGCGGCCGCAUAGAGUAAUUGAAGGGCCCCUUUAAAUCUCAGUAGAUGGCGCAUGGCAGAAAGUUUAGGCCACCGUUUUUUCUUUAUAUUUCCACCGUUUGGUUUCCACGCCGGUUUUUCUUUGGCUUCCUUCAUGUUAUUUCAUCCCAUUUUCAUUCCUUAAUUGAAUUUCGAACAACAGUAUAAUAGAUAAGGUUGCAGAAUUUACGGUUAGAUUUAUCCUCUUAUGUUCUUUAAUGUACCAUGGAGGUUUUGAUUUAGCAGCUAAAUAAGCUCACUAAUAUUGUAUCCAGUGAAAUGCAUGGCUUAAGCUAAUAAUCUACAAGGAAAUUGUGAGCAUUCUCAUUUUGACAAUAAUUUCCUUCCUCAUUGUUAAUACUCCAUCUGUCAGAAUUAUAUAGGUUGAGUUUCAUUUUUCUCUUGUCCCAAAUAUAUGGGCUUAUUUCCUAAUUUAGAAUAUUUUAUUUUAUUCCUUUACCAAUAUACUAUUAUUAAAUUUUUCCCACUUAAUAUGCUAACUUCCUGAAAUCAUCCAAAUACACACAUUUCCUAUUUCUUGGGAAAAUGAAACAAUUCUCAUUUCUUCUUCUUCAACUUAAAUCAUUCAAAUUAUUUACUAAUUCCAACAAUAAAUUAUUACUACAUAUUGAAAAUUAAAUAAGGGUAAUUUAGGAAUAUCUUGACAAAAAUUGAUUUUCCAAUGACAUUAAAGAAGAUUUUCUAAUCUAUAUGAAAAACGAAACAAGCUUAUGUAAUUGGGACGGAUGGAGUAUUUUAAUUUUAGGAGUCUCGCCCUUUUCCUAUUUGGACCAAUUUCUACCUGAAUUUUUUUUUAUUUACUUUUCUUAUUUUGAAGCUGCAGUUCUUUGCUUAGUUGGUCAGACACAACCAAUUUCAUUGUGGACCUGCGAAAUCCCUUUUUAGAAGUAUAAAAUUGAAAAAGUCAAUAUAUAUUCCAUUGUCCAUAAUAUUAAGGAAAAAAAAACUAUGGAGAUAGUUUAGUUAAUUAAUUACUAAGAAGGCAUUAGCUAGGAAAGAUGAAAAAGACUACAAAGUUGGCUCGAGCACAUAUUUAGGUUGGGCAUCAAUGGAAAGAGAAACUAGAGCUCCUCACCUGUGUUUCAGUAUAGAAUCAAAGUACGUAUUAUAGGUUAAAAUUCACAAUUACAUGUUUAUGGAAUUCGAUACGCAACUUAAGAAAUAUAUUUGUCUCGUGUAUAUUCAACUAGAGAGUCCAUACGGUCUAAAAUUAAAUUUUGUUAAAAGGUAAAUGAUAAGUGCUUUAACUAGUUAUUUCAUUUUAUUAUUAUUAUUAUUAUUAUUAUUAUUAUUAUUAUUAUUAUUAUUAUUAUUAUUAUUAUUAUUGGAUGAUGGGAGAACCCGUAGUCGCUAUCUUUUGGGUACACACUGGGUAAACUCUCGGGUUGAUGCUGUUAAGAAAUAUAGGAUUAUUUAUUAUUUAUUAAGGGUAGAAUAGCCCUUUUUAAUUUCCUUUGUUUAACCUAUAUAUAUUCUCUUUGUAUUUUGGUUAAACCAUCUUUAGCAUUCAAUUAUUUAGGUAGUAUCAAUGAAACCCUAGCCUCCUCCUUUUUCUUCUUUAUUUUCUUUGGAUUGUUUAACAUGGCAUCAGAGCCAGAUUUCAUGGGACAAAACUUAACCUCAAACACAGCUUUUGCGGAUCCAAAAAUUAUUUCUAGUAUUUCUGCAAUCUGUUAAAUCUGUUAUUUUGUUUAUUAUGGCUACUGAAAGAGACGAUUCCCUUCAGUCUGUGAGUGUGAGGUUGGAUGAAAAGAAUUAUUCGUAUUGAAGUUACGUGAUGAGAAAUUUUCUUAAGGGUAAAAAGAUGUGGGGAUUCAUUAGUGGAACUUCUGUGAAACGUGAGAAUACCAAUGAGGGUUAUGCUGCUUUGAUAGAUGCUUGGGAAUCAAACAAUUCAAAAUUUAUUACUUGGAUUAACAACUCCGUGGAGCAUUCCAUAGGUAGAGAGUUGGCGAAGUAUGAGACAGCAAAGAAGGUUUGGGAUCAUCUGCAAAGAUUAUUCACUCAGUCAAAUUUUGCAAAGCAGUAUCAAUUGAAGAAUGAUAUACGAGCUCUUCAUCAGAAUAAUAUGAGUAUUCAGGAGUUUUAUUCUGCUAUGACAGAUCUUUGGGAUCAAUUGGCCCUUACAGAAUCGACAGAUUAAAGGCAUGUGCUGCCUAUAUUACUCAUAGAGAGCAGCAAUGGUUGGUACAAUUUUUAACGGCACUUCGCAGUGAUUUUGAAGGACUCAGAGGUUCAAUUUUGCAUAGUUCUCCACUUUCUUCUGUUGACUCAGUUGUCAGCGAGUUAUUGGCUGAAGAAAUACGUUUUAAGUCUUAUGCUAAAAAUGGAAUUCUUUCUGCUUCUAACCGUUCUGUAUUAGCAGUGUCUUCUAAGCCAUCCUCUAAUAAUCAAAAUAAGCCUUACACAAGGGUUGCCUUUGACAAGUGCAGUUUCUGUAAGCAUAAACGUCGUUAGAAGGCUCAGUGUCCUAAGUUGAGAUAGUCGAAUCAAUUACAGCAGCAAUCUCAAGCUUGGAAGCCUCACGACCAAUCACGAUCUAAUGCUCAUAGACCACCACAAUCUAAUACUACAGCAAUAGCUUCAUCAGGUCCUUUCACUGAUCCUAGUACUUUGGCUGAGCAAUUUAAGAAGUUUCUCUCCUUACAGCCUCAAGCUAUGUCUGCUUCUUCCAUAGGUCAGUUGCCUCAUAGUUCUUCAGGUAUGUCACAUUCUGUAUGGGUCUUGGAUUCUGGUGCUUUUCAUCAUAUGUCUCCAGAUUCUUCGUCUUUUGCUUCUGUGUCCCCUUCGUCCUCUAUUGCUAUCAUGACUGCUGAUGGCACUCCUAUGCCAUUAGCAGGUGUUGGUUCUGUUGUCACACCUCACUUGUCCCUCCCUAAUGUUUAUCAUAUUCUGAAACUCACAUUAAAUCUUGCUUCUGUUGGUCAGUUAAGUGAUUCUGGUAAUUUAGUCACAUUUUUCUCUUCUUCUUAUUAUGUGCAGGAUCUGCAGUCUCAGAAGCUGAUUGGGACAGGCUGUAGGAAGGGUGGACUAUAUAUUUUAGAUGAGCUAAAAGUGCCAGUUACUGCUGCCGCUACUAGUGUUGAUUUGUCUUUGUUUCGUUUGAGUCCUUCUUCUUCUAGUUUUUAUUUAUGGCAUUCUUGUCUAGGUCAUGUUUCGUCAUCUCGUUUGAGAUUUUUAGCUUCUACAGGGGCUUUAGGAAAUUUACACACUUGUGAUAUUUCUGAUUGUAGUGGAUGCAAACUGGCAAAAUUUUCAACUUUAUCUUUUAAUCGAAGUAUUUCUGUUUCUUCUUCUCCAUUUGAUUUGAUUCAUUCUGAUAUAUGGGGGCCUUCUCCUGUUGCCACAAAAGCAGGGUCUCGAUAUAUGUUUCUUUUAUUGAUGAUCACACUCGUUAUUGUUGGGUUUAUUUAAUGAAACAUCGUUCUGAAUUUUUUGAGAUAUAUUUAGCCUUUCGUGCUCUUGUUAAAACUCACAUUCCACUGUUAUCAAAUGUUUUAGGUGUGAUUUGGGUGGAGAAUACACUUCUAAUAAAUUUUGUGAACUGCUUGCUUUAUAUGGAACUAUUCACCAAACUUCGUGUACAGAUACUUCUGAGCAAAAUGGUGUUGCUGAAAGAAAACAUAGGCACAUUGUUGAAACUGCUCGUUCUCUCUUGUUGUCUGCAUCUUUCCCUAGUGUGUUUUGGGGUAAAGCUGUUCUUACUGUUGUAGGUUUGAUUAAUACAAUUCCAUCUUCUCAUAUUUCAGGGUUUUCUCCUUUCGAAGAGUUGUAUGGGUAUACCCCUAAUUAUUCUCUCUUUAGAGUUUUUGGUUGUACUUAUUUUGUUCUUCGUCCUCAUGUAGAACACAACAAGUUGUCAUCUUGAUCUGCUAUUUGUGUCUUUCUUGGUUAUGGUGAAGGUAAAAAGGGGUAUCGUUGUUUUGAUCCAAUAACUCAGAAACUUUAUGUUUUUCGUCAUGUUGUUUUUCUCGAGCAUAUACCUUUCUUUUCUAUUUCAUCCACUACUCAUAGUCUGACUAGAUCUGAUCUUAUUCGUAUAGAUUCUUUUUCUGACAAUCCUGAUAGUUUGUCUUCUCCAGAGCCUACUACUUCAAAUGUCCAUUCUCAUGUUCCUACCCCGUUGUCUUUACAACCAACUCGUACUAAUCAUUCCGCAGGUACUGACACUUUACUCUCCGACACACCUAAAGCGUCAUCUUCUCCUACAAUCCCUCAAGCCGUCUGAGAUUGUGGAUCCGCCUCUACGUCAAUCUAUACGCAUUCGUAAGUCUACAAAGUUACCAAAUUUUUCUUAUUCUUGUUAUUCUUCAUCCUUUUCUACCUUUUUAGCUUCUAUUCAUUGUCUCUCUGAGCCCUCUUCCUUUAAAGAGGCAAUUCUUGAUCCUCUUUGGCAGCAAACUAUGGAUGAGGAACUUUCUGCUUUGUAUAAGACUGGUACUUGGGAUUUGGUUCCUUUACCUUCUGGUAAGAGUGUUGUUGGUUGUCGUUAGGUGUAUAAGAUCAAGACUAAUUCUGAUGGGUCAAUUGAGCGAUACAAAGCUAGGUUGGUUGCAAAGGGAUACUCUCAACAGUAUGGUAUGGAUUAUGAGAAGACAUUUGCUCCUGUUGUAAAAAUGACUACUACUCGUACUCUUAUUAUAGUAGCUUCGGUUCGUCAGUGGCGUAUCUCUCAACUUGAUGUUAAAAAUGCCUUCCUGAAUGGAGAUCUUCAAGAAGAGGUUUAUAUGGCACCCCCUCCUGGUAUCUCACAUGAUUCUGGGUAUGUUUGCAAGCUCAAGAAAGCAUUGUAUGGUCUCAAACAAGCACCUCGUGCUUAGUUUGAGAAGUUUUCUGUUGUGAUCUCUUCCCUUGGAUUUGCUUCUAGUAGUCAUGAUUUUGCUCUUUUUGUUAAGAGCACUGAAGUAGGUCGUAUCAUUCUAUCUUUAUAUAUUGAUGACAUGAUUAUUGCUGGUGAUGAUAUUGAUGGUAUUUCAGUUUUGAAGACAGAGUUAGCUAGACAGUUUGAAAUGAAAGAUUUGGGUUCUCUACGAUAUUUCUUAGGUAUUGAGGUAGCCUUCUCACGCAGAGGUUAUCUUCUUUCUCAUUCGAAAUAUGUUGCAGAUAUUCUUGAGCGGGCAAGACUUACUGAUAAUAAGAUUGUUGAUACUCCAAUUGAGGUUAACGCGAAGUAUUCUUCUUCUGACGGUUUACCUUUGUCAGAUCCUACUUUAUACCGUACUAUUGUUGGGAGCUCGGUAUAUCUCACUAUUACUCGUCCAGAUAUUGCAUAUGAUGUUCAUAUUGUUAGUUAGUUUGUUGCUUCUCCCACUACAGUUCAUUGGGCAGCUGUUCUUCGCAUUUUGUGAUAUCUUCGGGGUACAGUCUUUCAGAGUUUGUUACUUCCAUCCACCUCCUCCUUGGAGCUGCGUGCAUACUCUGAUGCUGAUCAUGGCAGUGAUCCCACAGAUCGCAAGUCUGUUACUGGUUUCUGUAUCUUUUUCGGUGAUUCUCUUAUUUCUUGGAAAAGCAAGAAACAAUCUAUUGUUUCUCAAUCUUUCACCGAAGCAGAAUAUCGUGCUAUGGCAUCUACUACUAAAGAGAUUGUUUGGUUACGUUGGUUACUUGCAGAUAUGGGAGUUUUUCUUUCUCAUCCCAUUCCUAUUUAUUGCGACAAUGAAAGUUCUAUUCAGAUUGCUCACAACUCGAUUUUUCACGAACGAACUAAGCACAUUGAGAUUGAUUAUCAUCUUACUCGUCAUCAUCUCAAGCAUGGCACAAUUACUUUGCCCUUUGUUUCUUCUUCUUUGCAGCUUGCAGAUUUUUUUACCAAGUUGCAUUCUAUUUCUCGUUUUCGUUUUCUAGUUGGCAAACUCUCAAUGCUUGUAGCUGCCGCAUCAUGAGUUUGAGGGGAGAUGUUAAGAAAUAUAGGAUUAUUUAUUAUUUAUUACGGGUAGAGUAGUCCUUUUUAGUUUCCUUUGUUUAGCCUAUAUAUAUUCUUUUUGUAUUUAGGUUAAACCAUCUUUAGCAUUCAAUUAUUUACGUAGUAUCAAUGAAACUCUAGCCUCCUCCUUUUUCUUCUUUAUUUUCUUUAGAUUGUUUAACAGACGCAAUAGUCUGCAAACCACGCCAACCAGUUAAAUCGCAUUAGGCAAGCUCGAUGCGACAGGCUCGACUGAAAAAGUAUUGGUAGGAGGAAUCGAACUCUUGACCAAAGGUCUUUGCACUCACCUACUCCACUAACUCGGCAACUCCAUGAGGGGCUUUAACUAGUUAUUUCCUUAUUAGAACAUGUGACGGUUUUUUAAUUUUUUAUUUAUUAUUAUUUUUUUUCAGUUCCCUUUGUUAAAAUUAGGUUGACUGAACAUAUUUUCCAUUAUAAUACUUUUUCAAUAUACAUGGAGUUCUCAUUUAAAGGAGUUUUUAAUUAGUUGAGAUUGUCAUAUUCGACAUUAAUUGGCUCUUAAGUUAUUGGUGUUAAAUUGCUAUUAUUGUUAGUUAGGACAAAAACAAAAGUUGGGAUUUCGAUAUUGGACCUUUAAAAUCAGAUAUGGAUUCCAUGAAGACUUGAAAACAAAGUUAACCAUAAAUUAAGCAUCUGAUAAAGUUCGUUUAUUUUUGACACCGUCCUAUGGACAAGACGGGACAGACCAUAAUAAAGUAUGUUUUAUUGUUUUAAUGACGUUGCAUGGACAGACACAUAAACGAAGUAUAGGGCUUUGAUUGGUUGGAACUCUAAGAACCUUAUUUUUUAUUGUUCGUGCAACUAAAAAAUGUAAUUUUCAGAAAGUAAAAAAGUUGAAGUCAAUAAGUCAUGCAUAGUGACACAUUGUCAAUACCAUGUUAGAAAAAUAUAAUAUUUUUAGUACGAACUCUAUUGUUUAAACCCUCAAAGAAGGCUGACAGUUUAAUCCCUUAUUUUCUAAUUAUGCAUUAGGCACUCUUCUUAAUAUCAUAGCCACAAUUUCAUUAUGAAUUCAUGAUAAUGGUUUAUCACUUUAAAGAUCACCGUUUUUUAUGUAUAAUGAUAUCAUCAGCCAUUAGACAGAACUGUUAAUGAUUGUAUACCCGAUAAAUCCCUCCAAUCCCGUAUAAACCAACAUCUGCUUUUAUUUCUUAACAAUUUUAGAGAGUAUACAUUAAUUUCUCGAAUAAUUUCUUCCAUAUGAGCAAGUUAUGCUCAUGUUUAUGGGCAGCAGGAAAACCACAACGAAAAACUGAAGAGGAGGAAGCAACGGGAAAUUAGGACAAAUAUCAAAGCUGCAGGCUGCGAUGUAGAAAAACUAUUCUGAAUGCACUUGUUUACGGUAGGGUUUUUCUCGAACCAUUUUAAACGGUUUGAUUUAAAAAUAUAUGAUAAAACUAUCUAAGCAAGAGUUUUAUACUCUAAGGUCAGACUCACAAUUACAAUCUUAUCCUCCAAAAUAAGAUUUGACUAUUUAAUUUUUAUCUAAACAAGAGCAUUUUAGUCAGUUGUUACUUACCAAUAAUUACUCUGAUAAAUCAGUCAAUCUAUCAUGAGAUUUCUCGUUCAGACGUUCAUAAUUCAUACACCAACCCUCUUCAUGCCCAAAAAGUAUUGUAAAACCAAAAAUAUUGAAACGAUAGGGACGAUUUAUACAAUAAAAACAAGCGAUAGGAACAUUUUGCAACAAUUACCCAUAAUCUUUGCUUAAUCAUUCUUUCUAUAGUUAUUGUAGCCCUAAAGAUAAGGUCAACUCUUAUAUUGAAUUCAUAAAUAGAAAAGUACUGAACAAAAUGCACAAUGGCAAUUUAAAUAACAAAUUUAAAUCUUAUAUUCCGUCACACAAACGUCCCAAUUUCUUUAAUGAGGUAUUGACUAUGUGCACAUUGCCCACAAACCUAUUAACUUCUUCAACUUAUUCACUUUCUGAAAAUGGCAUUUUUUGAUUCCACCAACAAUGAAAGAUAAAGUUCCUUGAAUAUAAGAAUGCAAACCAAUCAAAACCCAAUUCCCCAUUUUCAAUUCACAUGUGUCUGUCCAUGCACAACAUUAAAACAAACAAUAUUAUACUGGUCUGUUAUAUCCAUUAUAUAGUGUUUAAAAAUUCAUAUUUUAUUAAUUACUUAAAUAAUUAUGUUGUUAACUUUGUACAUAUGGACAAGUAAUUCUUCUUUAGUCAGAUUCUUGAAUUUUAAUUUUAUCUCGAAGUCGGUCCAUAAGCGUAUAAAAAGAUUAUAAAUAUCCAAUAAAAAAUAUAUUUUUUUAUCAAAUUUAACUUUCAAGAUUGCAUCACAAGCAAACGUCCUUCAUCAAAUUAUAAAGAGUAAGAUCAAGUAAAACUAUAACAAGAUCAAAAUCAUUUUCUUACUUUAGACAGUGACUCAUUACAAUCCCAAUCUAUGCAGAAAAUUAUGGGAUUCAAAACAAGAUUUAAAUGAUGUACACACUUCCUCUCUAUCAGUUUAACCUCCGUUUGACAACCAAUUUAUAAAUUCACACAAAAAUUGAAAAUUAAUUUCAACAAAUCCUAAAUCGUAAAAAGUAGUAUUGCAGUCAUGCUCUGUACUUAACCUUGUGGAUACACAAGAUCAAUCUAUUGGAUGUAUGCGAAAAUCCGAAAGAAAGGUGCGAGUCCCAAUCAAUUGAACAGCUCGAAGGAUAGAAUGAUGGUAAUUGGUAAAUUCUCGUGGUGGAGUCUCCAUGUUAAUGCAGGACUAGGGUAAAGUCUAAACAACAGAAAAUGGUCAUCUUUAAAGGUAGCUAAACCUUUAUCAUAAACAAAUUGUGGUUAUGAUAUUGGGAUGAGUGAUUAAUGCAUAAUUUGAAAUUAAUGGAGUUAGGUGUCAGCCUUCUUUAAUUUGAGGGUAUGUUAAUUAAGUGGAGUGCUGGUGAAGUAAUGAUGUCCAACGGGACAUCUCUCACAAAUUUUUGUGUAAAGUUUAAAUGUACUAAAAGUCGUUCUCCUCUUUUAGGAUGGACAUCAUUUUGAAUCUUUAGGCUAAAUGAACAAGAUGUGGUACUAUGCCCCUGAUUGGGAUCCUUUUAAAUCAAAAGGUAUUUUUCCCUCUUUUCUUUUGAACAACAUAUUCUCAAAUAAAAUAAUAUUCACAUAAAUCCGAAAAUCUUUAGGCUAAGUGAACAAGAUGUUUACUAUCCUUUACCAAAAAAAAAAUAAUAAUAAUAAUAAGGAUGAAAUCCGAGAAAAAUGUUAUUAUUCUUUGUAAAAUGAUGGAUGGAAAUAAUUUUAUUUAUUUUUAUUUUACUUUUUUUGAUUGUGGGAACACAAAGGGUAUCACGUACAUGGAAGACACGAUUAGACGAUGCAAAUGAUAAAGAACCGAUAUGAGAUACAGGCAGUCCUGAUCCAAGACCAACCUCAUUGGUACCAUCACAUUCAGAAUGAAUGAACACAUUUAAGAGAUCAAUCGUCGUGUUUUGGGAUGUUUUAGAGUCAACAAGCCACUUUUGAAAUUUUUUUCCUUGUGAGGUGGUUGCAUAGUUGGAUGUAGCUUUAGCUGAAUUCAUCUUUGGGCAUGCUUUGGUCUUAUAGCCUACUUGAUCACACCAUUGGCACUUGGGCUUACAUUUGCGAUAGCCCAUUUCUCUUGAUGUUGCCAUGGCCUUUGCUAGAAGAGGAUCUAUGAUUUUGCUUGUUCGUUCUAGAGAACCCUAGUUAUCACUGAUUGUAAUUAGCAGUUGCAAGCAUGUUCGACCCUGAUUGAGUCUCUACCCGGCGAAGGUAGUUUGCAUGACCUACCAGAAGAUCAUGAAUUUCUUUAAACUUAAGAGAAAUUUUACAAGCAUGAAUUGGGGUUACAAUUUCUCUAAACUCAAGACCCAAUCCAUUGAGGAUAUACUGGGUUAAAUCAUCAUCCGAUACUGGAUGAUCAAUAAUUAUUUUGAUAGUUUGGAAAAACUUCAUGACAGAGGGAUUGUCGCGAGUGCUCAAGGUAUGGUCCUCCUUCAAUUGCAUAGCACGUGUUCAUGAUUUUGUCAUAGAAUUUGGAAGAGCCAAUCCUAAAAGCUAGCUAUUGAGGUUUAAGAACUCAAGCCUAUAUAAACCGUACAAAGGAAAUCCAUACUUCCGAUGUGGGAUUCAGGUGCCCAAACACCCCAAUGAAAACCACCAUGCUUCCGACUCGAUGUCCACGUGAGUAGAUGCCCAUACACCCUAAAUGGUAACCGAGACCAGAAGACAUGAUGUCGGCUCUAAUACUAUUUGUUAUGGUUGGAGCUGAACUUCAACCAAAACUAGCUAAAUUCCACACAAAAUCAACACACAAUUUAAGAUACCAUGUAGGGAUUUAAUACCCAUAUGGGAUUUCAUCAUUUGACUAAAAUUACAUAGAAACAAUGUAAUGUAAAUUGUAUUACAUUGAUUGAUAAGUUCUAUUACAAUGUAAGGAUUACAAGCAAAAGACAAAUAUAAAAAAGAAGAGAUAGAUCAGUGGAGGAGCAAAGACAGAAAAGUGAAGAAAAAUUUAGAGAAGGAAGAAGAGAGCAAGAAGAACAGAGAAAGAAAAAGAAGAGGAAAAGCGGAAUCCAGGAGAAACAGGGAAGAAGCAGAAGAAGAAAGAGAAGAUGCUUACCAAAAGGGAGAAACGCAUAGAACAGCGAAGAAAGAAGAACACAAGAGGGGGAGGAGAAGACGAUUGUGGGAAGCAAAGCCACGAUUCAAUUCCACAACACUCAUCGUCUUUAAAGCAAAACCAUAGGUAGAACAAAAUAAUGCUAAAGGGCUUGGGCUAGCCUGCUAAUAAAAUAGCCCAAUUUGAUAAAAUAACAGUACUGUAGUUAACUAUAACAUUUUUGGUAUAGAGUCAGGUAAGGGUUAUCCAGGUUUCGUGGGAUGUUUUGCAGGGUGCAAGGAAAGGGAUAAUGGUUGUGAAAGUGGAGGCAAGGAUAGCAUAAAGGGUUAACUUGGUGAACUCAGUGGGAGUUCAUGACUUUUGAGGUGGUGGCAUUUGCUGCAUCAAUGGCUGGAUAUUUUUGGAUUCCAAUGACGAAAUCGAUGAGAUCACAGCCAAUUAACUGUGCUUCGAAUUGGGCUCUCCAUUCAGAAAAGGUAGCUAGGGUAAAUGUUGUAAGAUUUUGUUUCGCAAGUGUACGAUCCGUAACAAGUAAUAGUGGACCUAGGAGUCCGGUUAUCGAUCCCACGAGGACUAUUUUGUAGCACUUAAUUUAAUCUUUCUUUAACUACUAUUUGACGAAUGUAAAUAAAAAACAAUGAUUAAAUAUGAUUUUUAUUCUAAAGACUUAAAAAUGUGAUUGGAUUCAAUGAAAAGUGAUUGAGAAUUCAAACAAUAAAUGGAAUUUAGGGCGGAACAAUUUCACCUAUUGGUCACCUUUACUUCAUAAAUCAAGAUUCAUAAAACCUAAGGUAGUGUUCGGUCGAAUUCUUCUAUUGUAUUCAACUUACCCCUCUCGAGUUCUCAUUGAGCCUACUUAAUUAGUUUAAUUUCAUAUCUCUAUGCAAAUUAAAUUUAAUUAAACGAAACAUUGGUUCUAAGAAUUCACACCCGGCCGCAGCAAUCAAUAUAAGUAUCUCUACACAUUAUAUCAAUUUACCGGAUUUUAACAUGUAGUCUAAACAAAUAAUCCGCAUCUCUACGCAAUCAUUGUUCACAAAUCAUCUAAUUAGUGAUCAAAUAAUUAAAUGUAUUAAGAACAAUAUUAAAAUCAACACAUGAAAUAAAAAAGUACUAGAAUCUCAAUUGCAUGAAAUAAAGGGUUCCAAAAGAUUACAUUGUUCGCCCUAACAUGAAAUUUAACUACUCAUAAUAAUGGAAGAAAAAUAGGAGAUUGUCUUAGAAUACAUCACCAAGUUUGAAAUAAAGAUGUGGAAGAAAAAGUGGAAUUCUUGCACCAAAAUCUCCUUCCUCUUCCAAUGAGUGCUUCCAAUCUUCAAUUCUUGGUGUUAAUCUUCUUAAAUUUCUCCUUUGAAUCUCCCUUCUUGUUGUUUUUCUCUCCAAUAUGUCAAGAAUGCGUGGCUUGAUCCCAGAGAUUUUUAGUGUGCGGCUCCCCCCCAUUUAGGUCUUCAAUCUUGUGUUUUUAUUAUCUUGGAGUUUUGGGAAAGAUUUGGAGAUGAGUUGGGCCGAAAAAGAAUGGUAAAAACCUAAAAAAAUUACUCUCGCACGGCGGCGCCUAGGCCCUGACUUUCUGUCAAAAUUUCAGCAUCAUGGCGCCUAGGAGUUGAGGGAUAGCGCCUGGGCGCUGAGGACUACUUCGGUUGCACUGGACAGAUUUCAGUAUUUUUAUCAUAACUUUUUCGUUCGAUAUCCGAUUGAAGUGAUUCAAGAUUUUUUGGAAAGAUAAUUCAAAGGACUACAAUUUUGCUUCAGGAAUCAUUCUCCAAUUCGAUCGUUUUCUAUGUCAAAAAUGAGUCUAAAUGUGAGACAAAAACUCCGGCGCAAAACUUUUUGGUUGGAAAAUGAUUUAUGAUCAUAUCUUGACUAAAUUUGAUCCCUUUGACACCUUCCUUUGUCCAAUUGGCUUCUAGAACUCUCGGAUAUUCAUUUCAAGUUUCGACAUGACUUUUGAUUAAUUGCAUUUUAAUCCUCGAACUUUGGAUCUCUUACGUUUUGGUCAUUUCAUCCAAUUUCGCUAGCUUUUGCCUAUUUCCUUCAUUUGCCCUCUUUUAGCUCUAGUUUUCUCCAUUUCCAUCAAUCUACAAAACAACACCAAAAUCACUUGUUAGCACAUCUAAAAUACUCUCCAAGAUAGCAAAAUCAUGAAAUUAAUGGCAUAAUAUAAUGAGCAUAAAUCACUCAUCAGUAAAUUUUUCACUUAUGUUGGUUGCAGCGUUGAUGGUGAUGAUAGGAGCAUCUAGCUAGUUGCAGGGAUGGUGAUCAUUUGAGGAAUUGAAGGAUAUGUAACUCAUUAUAGGUUUGUUCUGAUACCAUAAAGAGGAUUUGCACUACUAAGGUUUUGAAGAUUUUAAUCCACACAUUUUCAUUUCUAUACGUAUACUCUAAUUAUGUACAAUCGGAGAGCAUGAAUUAUGGAAUACAAAUAAUGCAACUGAAUAUUUAUAGCCUAAUUACAAUGAUAUUAAUAGAGAAUAAAAAACUGUUGUUGAAAUCAAGUUAAACGCAAAGUCAGAAUUUUGAUUAUUUUUGCAUAAAUUGAUCCCAUAUUUUCAGCAUCUUCCUUGAUAAUCCCUUGUUCGGGCUCCAUUAAAAUCAUAAUAUAUCUUUUUCUCUCUUCUUUUCAACCACGUAUUCUCCCAUAAAAUAAUAUUACAUAUAAAUAUAAAAUUUUCUUUUUAGCCACACAUUUUUCAAAAAUCACUAUUCCAAAAUAUAUUUUUUCCCAAAACUUAGAUUUAUCCCUUGUUUGAGCCACAUCGUUUUCAUAAGAUUGCAUUUUUGAAUAGUAUAUUGAUGGAAAAUGUGUUGUUAAAAAAUAAGAAAAAAUUUGAAUUUACGUGUAAUAUUAUUUUAUUGAAUAUUAUGUGAUUAAAAUGAUGUCAAAUUACUGUUAAAGAAUGUAUUUUUUUUAAAAGAAUAUGGGUCAAAUAGGACCUUGAUAAAGCCCAAACAAGGGCUAUAUAUAAACAAAUAGGAGUAACAUGUAUGUCACCUACUCUCAAAAGUCAGCGAGCUCUUUAAUUUUGAAAUUCAAAAUGUACUACUUAAAAAAUGGGCCCCUCAAUUUUUAAAGAUUCCGAAGGUUUAUGUUAGUCACGGACUCAAAUUGCAUUUUAAACCGACAUUAAUGAUCUUAAAAAUUAUUGACACCAUGUUUUGAGGGAUCGCUUCAUUUCUUGUUCAUGCUAUGAGGAUUUUACGCCUUUAUUGUGAUUGCAAUUAAAGGUCUUGAACUAAUGAGGUGAUUGCUUUCUUAGUCUAGUAACUGAAUUAUCCCAAUUGCAUUUGUGGAUAUUGCGCUUAUCUUUUAAUGAGGUAUUGAGUAAGGUACCCACUAUCCCCAAGCCAUAUUGACUUCUUCAAUUUUUUUGCUUGCUGAAAGGGACAUCUUGUAGUUGCAUCAACAAUGAAAGAUAAGGUUAUAAGAAAUAAACCAAUCAAAGCUCUAUGCUGCGCUUUCAUUGCAUAUAUAUGUUUGUCCAUACAAAAACAUUAAAACGUUUAAACAUACUUUAUGCUUCCUUCAGAUGGUGUUUAAAAUUAAUAAUUAUUUUUUUUAUAAAUUUUUAAAAGCAUACUUUGAUCUGUGAUGAUGUAUAAAAAAGAAUAAAUUGAACGUUAUAAUCCAUGAUCUGGUUCCAAGCAAAUUGAAAGUUCUGGAGUUUCAAAGUGACACCAUGGGAAUUGCAUCUUGAAAGUUGUAGUUUCUAGCUUUUAACUCUCUAUUUAAUAACCUAUUUCAUAUAUAUUUGUGAAUUCGUAUGUUGGUAGCCUUUAAUUACAUUGUAUUUGUGUGUGUGUGUGUUUUUUUUUUUUUUUUUUUUUUUUUUUUUUUUUGAGAAUAGAAUUUUGAUAAUGGAGAUUAUCUAUUUCUCUCUUAACCCAACUUUGUGAAGUAGAAUUUUGCAUUUAAUUGAGUUAUUUAAAUCCCAUCAUUUCCUCCCUCAUCAGUGCCAUACUGUGGACGUUAAUUAAUUUUCCCAGCUCAAGUAUUUUUACUUUUUUAUUAGUGUUUUAAAAAGCGUAAAGAAUGGCUAGACGUGAAGGCCAAUUUUCAAACUUUACAAGCCUAUACAUAAUAAAGUGUUUUCUUAUUUUUAAUAUUAUUUUAAAUUUUUAGUCAUUCUAGAAAUCGUUUAAUAAUUAAAAUAACACAAACCAAACAUCUAGAAUUAUAAAAUACAAUAUUUACUUAAUAAUUCAUGUCAAUCAUACAAUUUCCAAAGGAAAAACUUGAAAUCAAAGUCAAAUAAAAUAUUUUUAAAAAAAGAAAAAAUAAAAAAAAUUAAUAAAGUGUGACUAGGAGCACCUAGUCGCACAUUAAACAGUCAACUCAAUGGUUGACCAUUUAAUUUCAUGCUUGUUGUCUAGGCAUGAUGUUUCGUUCGUACCUUGUGUUUAGGCAGCACCUAUACAGACUUUUUAGAAUACUAAUUUUAUGAAUAAAAGAUGUUCUUGAUUAAACAAUAUUUAAUUCGUAUUAUUUGAUCAUGUAAUUCUGGCCAAUCACAUGUUAUUUGAAGGGAGCCAAAUCAACCUCUUCAUUAGUUUCUAUGAUUUCACUGCCUAACGUCAUAAACAAAAUAAAUUCCAUAAACUAAAUAAAUUUUAAACAUUGAAGACUACUUGCAAGUAUGUAUAUAAAUUCAAGGACAAAACCAGAAUUUUAAAUCCUAUUGGCGCCAUUGUUUUUAUUUAUUGUAUCAUAUCUAAUGUCACUUAAGGUUCUCGAUAUUUUCUCAUUGUGUUAUUUAUGUACCUAAUCUUUUCGUCAAAUAUCUUCAACAUUCCAUUAAAUAGCACAUUUUAACCUUGACGAUGAGUUUUGCCCAAAUGCUUUGUUCCAUUCCGUGUUUUGAAAUGAGAAAAAUAUUUUUUCAUGCUUUUAUAAUUAUUAUUUACUUAAAAAUAUAAUGAGCAAAUAAGUAAAGUUUUACACUCUCCUAAUGACUAAAAUUAUAGCGAAAAAAAUUAGGAACAUAAAUAAUAUAAUAAGCAAAGAUCAAAGACGUUAACUGCAAUUAAAAUAUGAUGCAACAAAUAAAAAUUGUGCUGUAAAUAAAAAUAACUUUAUAUAAUACUUAAAUUUAUGUUGUUAAAUAUGACAAAGAAUAAAAAAUUUAACUGCAAUUUAAAUAUGACGCAACAAACUAAAAUGUGGCGUGAAUAUAAUUAAAUUUAUGUUGUUUAAUUUGUUUCCUACUCUUCACGGAAUCCAUGUUUGGAUAUGAAUAUGUUCAAUAAGUGAAAUCCCUACUAUUUAUUCUAGUCCUUCGGUGAUGGUUGUAUCUUGGAAAUAAUCUGCUACCCUUGGUAGCUAGGAUAAAAUAUGUCCACUGCUGACAUGAUAAUGACGUUGAAUUCUUAAAAAUUGUAGAUUCAACUGCUAACAUGACAACGGUGGCCAACAUAACUCCUAGCCACCAGGGAUAUCAGAUCAUUUCCGAGUUGCAUCUUAACACCAAUAACAAGUGAGACUUUAGUGGAAAACACUCCUAUCCCGUUGUAAUUUAUUCAUUUUUAAUGGAGUUCGUUUAGAUUACGCAACCAAAGCCGAAUAUGGUAAUCUCAACUAAUUCAACCAAUCAAAGGCCUAUACUCCAUUUUAAUGCAUAUAUAUAUGUCUGUCCAUGCAACAACCCAAAAACAAUAAAGCAGACUUUAUGCUGGUCUGUCCAGACGUUCACCAUCAGAUAAUCUUGAGCAUUAAUACUUUGCAGAAUUCUUAAUUUAUGCAGUUUACUUUAUUGAUGGAAAAUUCAUUCCUCAAUCAUGUACUAUCUCGAAGUUGGCUAUGGUCGAACUAACCGAAAAAAGAGACGAAUAAAGUCGAUCUAUUUCAGUGUUAAAAUAAAGCAAUAGCAAGAGCAAAAUUAUUUUCAAACAUACGAUAGUGAGACAUUACUGUCUUAAUUUACACAGAAAAUCAAAGCCCAUUAUCAAAUGUACACAAAGACCUUACAAAACACUGUUUGUUAACCGCAUGAGCUCACAUUAAUUGGAACCUGGUUCCUCAUGCAUGUAGAAAGCUGUUGGAUGGGUGGAUUUUCUUACUUGUACAAGGUUUAGGUUUACCGUCUGUCGUCACUUAUUUUUUGCACUAUGAUGCCUGCAGCCUCGUUUUUUUGUAUAAUUUCCAGCUCCUCCUUUCUCUUCAGUUUCUCCUUCUGGUUUUUCUGCUGCACGUAAACAUGAGCAUAACUUGCUCCUGUAGAAAACAUUGUUAUAGGAAUUAAUAUUUAUUCUCUGAAAUUGUUAAGUGAUUAUGAAGGUGUUUAUAUGGGAUUGAUUCUUGAGGAAUUUAUAGGGCAAGCUAAUGGCUUGGUUAUACAUUAUUAUAUUAAUUAAGGCAGUGUAGCACACGGAUAAACAAGUGCUGGAAUGGUCAUCUUUAGACUUUAAAGGUGGCUAAACCAUUAUCAUAAUAUAAUUGCUGUUAUGAUAAUAGUUAGUGUGCAUAAUGCAUAGUUGGACAUUAAUGGAGUUGGCUGUCAGCCUGCCUUUAGGGUUUAAACAAUAUAGGUAAAGAAUCAGAGGGGUCCACCCAUGCCAAAGCUGGGCUGGCCCACAUAGAUAUAUGGGUCGAGGCAGACCCCAGUUUCUACCUACUAGUAUGAACCGGGGAUCAGUAUUGGUUGGUAUUGGGCAUCUCUCACCCCAAAAACUAGCUCAAGAGUUGAGAUUUUUUCUCACACUUAUAAACUAAAUAUUAAUCUCAUCCACAAUAGAUAUAAGACAACCUCAAAAAUCUCCUCCUCAUACAUCGAGCUUUACGAGAGACCAAACACGUCUCCCCCAUACAUCAGGCUCUACAAGAGACCAAAUCCAUCUCCCUCUCACACAACGAGGCUUGUGGGAGACCAAACCCGUCUCCUCCUCAUACAAACCCGUAUCUCCAUGACUGUUGUUCCAGAGACUUGUUAAUAAACUGGGCUCUGAUACUAGUGUUGGUUGGUAUUUGGCCUCUCUUACCCCAAAAGUUAGCUCAAGAGGUGAGCAUUUCCUUCACACUUAUAAACCGAAUACAAAUCUCAUCCACAAUCGAUGUGGGACAACCUCAACAAUCUUUUCCUCACACAUCAGGCUUUGUGGGAGACCAAACACGUCUUCCCCCACACAUCGGGCCCUACAAGAGACCAAAUCCGUCUCCCUCUCACACAACGGGACCUGUAGGAAACCAAACGUGUCUACCUCUCACAUAAACCCAUAUCUCCGUGACUGUUGGGGGAGAGACUUGCUAAUAAACUGAGCUCUGAUAGGAGUGUUGAGUAAUAUUGGACCUCUCUCAUCCCAAAAUUUAGUUCAAAAUGUAAGACUUUCCCUUACACUUAUAAACUGAAUACCAACUCCAUCCACAAUUGAUGUGGGACAAUCUCAACAAUCAGAACAAUGACCUUUUCAAACUCGGAACCAUCAUUAACCUAAUAAAGGCACGAGAUCAAUUAAUGUGUUUUUGAAGAAUGCUUAAUACAUAGUUGGACGGAUUAAUCUUUUUGUACAAAGGAUCCUGUAAAAUAUAAUUAUAGGUGCUGGUCUCGAUUAUUUUUUUUAUUUUUUUUGGGUCAAUACCCAAUGAAAAAUUGUCAAGCAUCUCAUGUUGGGAAAAUAAAUGAUAUGUGUGUAGAUAUUCAUCAACUAAUAAAUAUAAAUAACGUAAUUUAAUAAUUGCAUAAACAUCAUAAUAUGAUAACAUUAUAAUUCAACAAUAAGAAAGUAAGAGUUAGAAAUGCAAACAUCAGGGAGUCAUGUCGAAGACGCUAUCCUAAAGUCGUGUGCCUCCUUUUCGUGUGGAUACUUUCAGCUCUACACAACUCCAAUAUAAAACUCACAUGACUCAUAGUCUAUUCUCCUUUUAUGAGCAUGACCAUAGGAAGAUGAGUGAAUAAACAUUUAACAAGUUGUCAAAAAUAUAGAAAUAUAGCAUGAAUUGUAUAAAAUAUUUAUCUUCCAAGUUGUGUUUUACACAAUGAAAACAAUUCAUUUUUACAGGGACAAAUUCCAACCACCACAAUUAAUCUAAUAUUAUAAAUUUUAAAUUUUUUAAUUAAAUCUGCAAAAUUAAAAGAAAUUUGAAAAUUAAUAGGUUUUAAUUUUGAAAGGUUGAAACUUAUUUUAUGUUACAACAAUCCCCCACAAAUUUUAAACUUUUAAAUAGAUAAAUAUAUAUAAUAAUGACAACGUUAUACUGUAUAAUAGGUGUAAGUAUUCUUUGGGCUUAAACUUUACUUAGCGAUAACAAUUUCAUUUGAGGGGGUCAUGAUGGACUAAGCCUUGAAUUAGAUCAAUUUCACCAAACUUCAAUCGUUCUACAUACAAUAUCGAUUUAGGCUUUAGUUUAUAGCGGAUAAUGAUCAUAACGAUCAUGCACUCUAAUCUUGAUUCUAAUAAGAGUCUCUAGGGAAUAGUUCAAUUCCAUAGUCACGACCACAUAGCAAUUCCUACAUAGGUAAGUCCUUGAAGGGUGCAUGUGACUGUUCACAAAAUUAUUUUUUUGAUUUAAAACUACCGCAAGUGUACGGUUCAUUAACAAGUAAUAAAGUAGAUUAAAUGAGUCUGAAUAUCGUCCCACAGAGAUUGAUUAGUUCAAAUUUACCUAUCGUCGCCUUAACCGAAACUAAAUUACUAAAGUGGAUGUGAACCUAAGUAAAACCCUAAUUUUGGAAAGAAAACCCUAAUUAUGCAAUUUUUAUGAUUGACUUAAAUUAAAUAGGCAAAACAAUAUUUUUUUAACACUCUAGAAUGAAAUCAAAUGUUGAGAACGCACAUUUGUUGUAAUCAAUAGAAAUUAAACACAUUAGGAUCACAAUUUCCCAUGCAAUUAUCACUUUAAAAUCCUAGUUUCACAAUAUGACAACACACUUCAAUCGUUGACAAAUCAAUGUUCCUAAGUCUAUUCAAUACUCUCUCUCGAGAUGUAUCGAACCUAUUUUUACAUACCACCGGCCUAUAUCUCUAUAACAAGUGCAUAUGUAAAAAUGCAUGCGAUUUUAUGAACCUUGAAGAUUCACGUAGGGUAUAGUGGUAUAUUUCUAUCCUAUAUCGAAUCCUACGAUGAUUUAUAUUAUGUCGAACUUAUUGCAAUUCUCUCGAAUGCAAGAAUAAAUCACUCAAACUCACACAAUUACGGGCCCUUAAUUACGGAAAAAAUAAUUGCAUAUAAAUCAUUCAAAACAAUAGAAAUAUGUCUUAAUGUCAAAUUGCAAAACUAGAAUAUUAAAGAUCAAAUUACAUGGUACAUCGAUCUCCUAGCACAUGAAAAAUCUAACCUAACAUGCUAAAAAGAAGAAAAUACAAAAAUAGUUGAAGAAAUGUCAUCGCCCGAAUCAAGUUUCAAUCAAUUCUUUAAUUGGCACAAUUUUUCCUCUUGAACGGCGUCCUCUUCGUUCUGGUCGAGUUUUUGUCUAUAUAGGACUCUAAAAAUCUUGUUUCCAUAAGAGCUUCAGUGAAAUAAGGAAACUGCAGAAUCGGCCUCCGAAUUGUUCUAUGCAACCGCAUAAUACAUUUCUAUGCGAUAGCAUAGAUUUGAGAAUAAUUUCUCGGGAUGCCUUUAUGCUACCGCAUAGGAGUUUCUACCAUGCGACCGCAUAGAUAUGUCAUUCUUUUCAUCGGACAACUUUUAGUAUUUUGGUCAUAACUUUCUCUCAUAAUCUCCAAUUGAAGUGAUUAAAAGUGCACUGGGAAGAAAACUCAAAGAUCUACACUUUUGAUAGAUAUAGGAUUUCUCAAAUUCUGAUGUUUACUAUGUCAAAAAUGGAUCUCAAGUAGAGACUAAAAAUCAUGAACAUAAGCUUUUUCGCCUGAAAGUUGAUACUUGCUAAUACUUCGACCGUAUUUCACCUCUUUGACUCCUUUCCUCAUCUGAUUGUCCUCUAACACUCUUGAAUCUUCAUUCCAUUUUCCGUCUUAUCUAUGUAUUAUUUGCAACUCGAUCCCCGAACUUUCAGUUUCUUCAACUUUAGUCCGUUUUUGCUUGUUUCUUUUAUUUGUGUCAUCUCAUAAUAUCACCAAAUCGGUACUUAGCUCAUUCACUUCCUUGAUUUGUCCUUCAGACCAUCUUUUGGAUAAUUGCACUUUGGUCCCUGAACUAUCACUUUGCUUCAUUUUAGUCCUUCUUUGGCUUUUUUUCUCCUGAAUUCCACAAUUUCCAUAGAAACACAUACAUUGCAUGAAUUCAAUAAGAUUAAGUCACAAUUUAAACAUUUUAUUCGUAAUUAAGUCAUGUUUGUGAUCUAAAUAAGUGUGCAAAAAUACAUUUAUCAGUGACCCACACCUUGCGAGAAUUUUCCCAUUGAUGCUCAUUCAGAUAUAAAACCUUUCUAAUAUCACAUUUAUUAGCACUAUCAUCAUAGAGAUGAGUACAAAUAAAAUAGUGUUAUUACAAGUCACACAGUGCGGAUUGUUUCUGCCACAUUGAAUCUUUUUCAUGGGAUCUCCAAUCAUAAAGAUUGGGUUACUUGCGGAGGUAACUCCCAUAUGUACUUAAGUCCAUCCUCCUCGGUGAUUUAUGUAUGUCCACCUUGGACUACAUUUAUUCACAUCCCUCUUGAAUAAUAAAUUGGUUUGCAAAGUUUUAUUCUUUACUUGACAUUUAUUUGCAAAAUUUUCUAAAUUUUCUAAAUUUUCUAAAAUAUCAAUAACACAUUUAAUUAUAAUACGAUAAAAAUAUGAAAUUUAGAAAUUGACUUCUAGUAAUAUGUUUGAGCAGAUGCAUCCAUUGAACUCUUACAUUUCACUUGCAUGUCUUCUAGUAAUAUGAAAUUUAGAUUUUGACUUCUAAUAUUAAUCUUUGUAGUUGACUAAAACUGACCACCAAUGUAUUUACUACUCACACACAGACAUCGUAUUUUAUUAAUUACCAUAUUACAAAAUUUCCAACACUAACCAAUUUACUGCAAUUCUCAUUGGAUGCAAAAGUACCAAUUUCUUUAACAUUUAUUUAUUCUUCAACUUCAUUUUGAAGAAAAUAGUUAACCAAUUUAUUCUUCAAAUUGAAAACAAGAUACUUAAUUGAUACUCAUAUUAACAAAGUAAACCAAAUAUAUUUAACGAAUCACAAAAUUUGUGUUGGAAAACUAUUAACAUAUAUUAUGAAUAGUAUAAGAACUUACGUAAACACAUUUUAAUUGGUAUAUUGGUUAUCUUUAUAUUAAAUGGGAGCCCAUGUUUUUCUAAUUGGUCCAAACCAAUAAUAUGCACAAUAGAAUCUUUUGUUACUAAAUUCAAUAAGCAAUGUUAAUUUAUAAAACCCAUCACCAAUAAUUGGCAUUAACAAUAUCACAUUAUAUAACUCUAUUUAAGCUAUUGUUCCUUUUAAUUUUUCAUGUCAUUUGAUUACCAUAGAUAUUAAGAAAUAUAGAGAACAUGAAUCCAUAGCAUAUAGAUAAAUAGAGGUACUAUAACUCCAUAGCACAUAUGCGUGCUACAUCUCCUGCAUGUACAAAAUAACAACCAAAUUCCAAAAUAAACUCAACUGCAUUAGAAAAUAUUAAUAGAAUUUCUGAAUAUAUUAAUUAUAGUUCAGCCACGAAAUUUCUAAUAAAUUGAGCUCAUAAUAAUGUUAUGUUUCCUAGGAAUUAAAGUUCUUAGUUAUUGUCUUAAAAAUGUUUUAGCCUAGGGCUAAGCAAACAUAUUGUACAUAUUCUUUAGAAUCCAAAAAUCGAAUAAAUUAUUAUUUUUAUUACUGACUAAGCAAUAUUUUCUCUAAAUUUCUAACCCACUCAUUGAUUAAUUAGAGUAAUCAAUUGAAACGGAAUACCGGCCAAGUUUAAAUCAUUUAUGUUAGGAAAAUGUGUAAUUGGCAAUCUGUGACCAAAGGACCUAUUUGUCAAAAUUGUAAAGUCAAGGACUAAAUUGUACAGGUCAAAUAGUUUAGGGACUAAAGUUGCAAUUUAGUAAAGGUCAUAGCAUAGGUCUAGGGUAAAGUGGGAUGCUUUGAAGAUGCAAGUGGCGCGUUGAUGUCGCUGGAGUUUCGGCCUGACCUUGCUAGAGCCAAAAUUGCAGAACUGACCUCGCUGGAGUUUCGCUGGUCUAUCACCUGAGCGAAUGUACGUCGCUUGAGUUUCGCCAGGACCUCGCUCGAUCGACUGUGUUAUUUGGCCUUUGGUAAUUUUAAUGCCUUGUGAAUUUUUAACGCUCUAUAUUACCAAAUUCGACCUACUCUAUAAACAAAACGUCCGAUUUUCUUACGUGACCUUUGGCAAACAUUAAAACAACAAUUUCUCUCAACUUCCAAAGGAUAAAGAGCCAAAAUAACUUCAUGCUUUUCAUCUUUGAUUCUCAUGGUUCUUUGAAUAAAAACAUCAACCCUCACAAAACCAAAACACCCUUUCAUAUCUCCAUAUAAACUUCCAGAAGAUCAUCUGUUUGAAGAUCCGGGAAGGAAAUUACUUGAAGAGCUGGAGUGCUUGGUGAUUCACAGGAGGUAGAAGAUAUUCAAAGCUGGGAUUUUGGCGCAGAUCUGCAAAAUCCAGGAUAGCUGUGGUCGAUACAGUAAGGAAGUCAGAAUAUUGUUAGAAUCAAUAAUGUCUGACGUACUCUACGUCAAUAUCUUUUAUAGUGGAUCUCUACUAGUUUGUGCCCGGAGUUUUUACCCAGUUGGGUUUUCUCCGUCAAUAUUUUGUUGUGUUUUUUACUGCUUUCUGUUAUUUAUUUUUCAACUGGUAAUUCAACUUAGGUAGAUGAAGUAUGUGAAUGAAUCUAGGCAAUGCAUAAUUGAUGUGACUUGUUGCAUCAGUUAAUUAAUUGUUUUAAUUCCGCAUAAACACCUAUUCACCCCCCUCCCCCUCUAGGUGUUGGUUGGGUCGAACUAUUGCUUUUUCAAUUUAGAAUAGAAAAGGAUCAUUCAACUGGAUCUUUUCCACUUUCAAGAUCAUAGAAAUAUUUGUACACACUCAUUCAACACUAUGGCAACAGAAUUUGAAGAUCUUAACAAUUUCUUUGUUAAAAGAUGAACAAAAUGUUAAUGUUUCAAUAUUAAGAAAAAUAGGAUGAGAACACUUCAACAACAGAUACUUUAACUAUGACAAAAUUGGCAAAAUGAGAUCAUAUAUCUAGUUGAUAAACACAGCACAAUAAAUCAAACUGAAGCAACAAACCCAACACUACCAAAUACCCAAAAACCUCAAGGAAAAAAAGCAACUAUAACAAAAUUAAACUUUUAUUCACUAUUCUUUACUAGAUCUUUUGAAAUAUCUAAAGCAAUUGGGUCCUUGUUUGUUAACUAUCACAUGUCAGGUUAAUAAUGGUCUAACCUCUUUUAACUUCUUGUUCUAAAAUUACAUCACUCAGUCACUCUUGUGAACGGACACUUGAUGUAAAAUGAUCCUUCUCAGAUAAUGAUUAAUGAAGAUGAUACCUUGGCAUGAAAACUUAUACCUUCAUGAACUUCAUUUUGCACUACCCUCAAUAAGUUGCUCUUUACUAAUUAUCAGUCCCUCUUAAUGUCAAUUUCAUCAUUUUGCAUUGAUUCUCAAUUCAUGGCAUUUUAUUAAAGAUUCAUUUAAUUUCAUCAACGUAGUUUAUAGAAUGUUUGACCCCUCAUAAACAAAUUGCAUAGUAUUUGGGAAUAGUUUAUUUACACACAAAUCAUGCCAAUACGACUUUAGAUUCUUGGAAAAAUGAGUGAUUUGUGUUUAUAUACUUGUCAACUAAUAAAUAUAAAAAACAUAAUUCAAUAAUUGCAUAAACAUAAUAAUAUGAUAACAUUAUAAUUCAAUGAUAUAUAAGAAGAGAAGAGUUAGAAGUGCAAGUAUUAGAAAGUCACGUCAAGAACACUAUCCUAAAGUCAUGUUGCCUCAUCUUCGCGUAAAUACUUUCGAUUUUACACGGCUUCAAGAUAAAAGACAAGUGAUUCACAGUCAAUUAUCUUUCUAUGAACACGACCAUAGGAAGAUAAGUAAAUGAACUUUUAUCAAGUAGCCACAAAUAUAAAAAUAUAUUAUGAAUUGCGUAAAAUGUUUAUCUUCCAAGCCGUGUUUUACCCAAUGAAAACAAUUCCCUUUUAUAGGGUCCAACCCCCACAAUUAAUCUAAUAUUAUGAGUUCUAAAUUUUUGUAAUUAAACCCGAAAAUUAAUAGGUUUUAAUUUUGAAAUGUUGAAACUUUAUGUUACAACAUCUCCCUAUGAAACUUCCUUGUAGACCUAGCAUUUCUCUAGUUGGACAUUAUGGGAUUUAGCUGUCAGCAUUAUUUGAAGGUUUAAACAACAUCGUGUGUGUGUGUGUGUUGAACUACAGAUGUAGUGUUAGGCAAUUUUGUUGUCAAACGACCUCCCCGGGCGAUGAUGUUACCUCGGUUGUUUAUUAUCAAUCGGCCUCGACCUAAUGAUUGAUUAGUACAUCGACACAAUUAUCGAGACAACACAAUCCACUUUGUUAUGGACCGUUCGAAGUAACCUAUUUUAUAGUGUUGCUCACGGUUCCCGCACCAUUCCUUGGAAGGCUAUAUUAUUAUUGUUGAAGCCCACUUAUUUGAGUCGAGCCUUGUUUGUUGAUCCACCACUUAACCCUAAUUGUAACUUACCUAUUUUGGACAAUAUACUUGGCAUAUAAUCCCUUCACUUUCUCGGCCUCCAUUAGAGUGAAAUUUUCCCCUCUUUGUGAGUCUCUCUCUCUCUCGGCCUCUCCCUUUCCCUUUCACUGUGACCUUGGUGGUUAACCUACUGUGGGAAUAUUAUUGGGCUUCUCCUUCCCAAUUGAUAGCAACCGGACCGGUGGCGGCAUAGGGUGGUGUUGGAGUUGUCUCAAGGUGUUGGUGUCGAUGUUGUGGUAAACUGAGCCCGGUUUUGCACGUGGUGGCUGUGGAAUUCAUCCCUACAUGUAGCUAUGUCCAAUAAAUCCUCUCCCUUAUAUUAUGAAACUGUGAUGUUUACAAAUACUAUAAGAUGAGAAAGGUAAAUUCUGUCCACAGAGAAAGAUUUUAUUAAUAUUGGGUCUUUUCUGGUAGUGUUUCAAAAUUUACAGAAUUGAAUAUUCAGAUAGGAUUAAUACAAAGAGUGGUCAGCUACAUACAUGUUACCUGUUGUCAAAAUGAGCUCCUUUCUUCUGAAUUGCUGUAUUUCGUAUAGAAAAUUGACAAAUUUCUAUUCAUUGUUAUUUGGUGACUAAAUUCACAAUAAUUUGAAUUUAGAUUUACUGUCUUAUGUUCACUGUACCAUGUUAAUUCUGUAGGAUUUACCAUGGAGAUUCUCAUUUUGAAGCUAAAAUAAGCUCAUUGCUAUUGUACUUUCAGGUUAAAAUGUUCCAACAGUAAAUUAUCUUCAUUUUGUGUACCAAAAUCUUAAAUGAACCCAACUUUAUAUUAAAAUCAUAUAUGAACUUACAGAUUAGUAACACACCCAUACAAGAAAGGUUCUACAAGAAAUAACUUUAUAUUAAAAUCAUAUAUGGCCUUGGUAAUGUAGCAAGGUUCUACAAGAAAUAACUUUCAUCAGUAACUAAAGGAAUAAUCCAUGUGGCAAACGGAGUGCCCACGUGGCAAUGAGAGGUAAACUUUUGGCAAGUUAUUACGUACGUAAUGGUACUCCCUAUAUCAAAAUCAUACAUGAACUUUUACAUGUACCAAAAUCAUACAUGGAUUCACAAAUUUGUAUCUAUAAAGGAAUUAUAUUCCCUUUGUCAAAACUAACGGAACAAUUCACGUGACAAAGGAUGUACCAGAAAAUAUAAGACAUUUUCUUCAUUUCUUUUUAUUCUGUUGUUAUGGCAUUAACUUUAGAAUACUCAAUAAACUCCAAAAUGGUUGGAUACAAAAACUAAAAUAUGUGCCUUACAAAUGUUUCAAUUAAAUAAGAAACUCACUUCUAUUACCACUUACUCUAGACUAGUGAGAAGUGAAGCUUGCUUUUUGUUUUUUGCUUAUAUACUCUCGUGUUUCAAGAACACCGAAAAAGACUAAUUCAACUCUACGUAAAAUAAAAAUUUUAGGACAUAGGGUACCUUCAUAAUUGUCCAAAUUCUCGUUUUUCCUUGAAUGUUCUCUAUCCAUCAAAAAUCAUCUUAUCAAACAUUCGUAUAAAUUGUUAAGCGACGAGUGUCUAGAAUGAGUUUCUCAUUCAAUUGAAGUUUUUGGAAGGCAAGUCUUUUAAUUUUUGAAUCCAAGCAUUCGGAAUUUGUUGAGUAUUCUAAAAUCAUGUCAUAAAUAAUACAAUAAGAAUAAAUGAAAACAAAAUAUUAUUCCAUUAAUUUUGACAAACGCAAGUUAAUUCGUGUAUGUUUGGGAUACAAAUUUGUGAGUCGAUGUAUGAUAUAUCGAUCAGUUCAUGUAAGAUUUUGAUGCGAAGGGUAAAGUUCAUGUACCAAGUGUAUGUUGUCACAUAGAAACUAUUUUUCAGGUGGAUUAUUCCAUUAAUUUUUACUAAUAGAAGUUAAUUCAUUUAUGAAUGAAAUAUAAAUUUGAAAAUUCGCGUAUUGUUUAAAUGCAGAUUGAAUUCGUCUAUGAAUUUGAUACAUGCAGUAAAUUUCAUUUAAAUUUCAUGCAUUUAACCUUUUUUUCUGUUCCUAUGAUAUUGAGUUUAUUGUUCUCAAAAGUCUUUAUUGCCUUUCUUCCAUUAUAUCCCAGCAUAACAUUGAAGUUGGUUAUUCAAGUAUGAUUUGACAUGCAUUGGCCCAAAUAAUUAACUAAAUUAUCCCCAUGGUUUUACAAUGUCAAUGGACAAUGCGUCAACAACAAAGUACGUUAAACUAAACAAUAAUUAAGGGGAAAAAAAGGGUUAAAUUGUGAUCGUUGUACUAUAAAAAUCCUAAAACUGUGCACAACCUAUUUACUUCAACUUUUCCACUUGCUGAAAAUGGCAUUUUUUUAGUUCCACCAACAAUUGAAAAAUAGGGUUCUUAAAACAACAACCAAUGAAGAACUAUUCUUCACUUUAAAUGGUAUCCAUGCAACAACAAUAUAGUAGACUAUGAUGGUAGGUCCUAUCCAUCAGAUAGUGUUAAAAAAUUAAUACUUAGUCCUGAUGUCUACCAUUAAAGUAGGAAAAUGAUAUUUGGAAUAAUGAAUUUUUAGAGAAUGUGUGGUUAAAAAAUAAAAAAUAUUGGAAAAAGAAGUUUUAAAUUUUCGUGCAAAAUAUUUUAUUGUGAAAAUUUGUAGUUGAAAAUAAGUUUUAAAAAAAAUGUUUUAGAAUAAUGGUAGAUAAACAGGCUUAAUCAAAACCUUAAAUUAUGUAUAACUGAUACGGACAAGUAGUUAGUCCACAGUCACUAUCUUGAAGUUGGUCUAUGAUCAGCGGAUUGCUGUCAAGAGGUUAUAGAGAAACAAGUAUGCUACAUGUACAUUCUCCUUUACAUUAAGUUUGACACUCUUUUACAUGGUAUCCAUUAAGUCCAUUGAUUUCUACAGCACCCUAUCACAUUACUGCCCAGAUUUUGACGUAUAGGGCUCACAUGUUAAUGAAAUAAUUAAAACUAUUAGAUAAGAAACCUAUAUAAGUAUUAAAUUUAGACCUCAACGUUGCGUCACGACUCACAAGCAAGCAAUCUUAAUUAGAUUACAAAGAGUGAGAAUAAGCAAAAUUGUAGCAAGAGUGAAAUCAUUUUCGUUAUUUAGACAGCGACACUUUAAAGUCUCAAUUUUGCACAAAAAUUAAAGACCAUUUUUACAUGUAUGUCUUGAAGAUAAGAUUUAGAUAAUAUAAUUAUGACUCUCUCUAACACAUUAAGCUUUUAAAGAAAGUAGUACACGAUGGAUUUUCUUGUUUCCGCCUACAGCUCUAUUUUCAUCGCCGUUUAGUUUUUCUACCAUGAAGCCUUGAUUUUUUGCCCUAAUUUCGUGUUCCUCCCUUCUCCUCCGUUUUUUCUUCUGGGUGGUUUUAGCUGCACAUAAGCAUGAGCGUAUAUAACUGUUGAAAAUUUUGCCAAAAUAUCUAAUAAUUGAAAAACAAAGAAAAUUUGGAAGAAUAUUGCAAUUGUCAAUUACAUAUUGACAUGGUUUGCUCAUGUAUUUGGUAAGUGCAAGGUAGGAAGAAUUGUAAGCUUAGCAUCCUAACUUUUCUAGUUCUCUUUGUAGUAGAAUUGGUAGGCAGUGUAAUGCUUAGCUAAUCUGUUUCUUAUGAUACUUAGAGGGUUUGGUUCGAUCAGAAAUUUUAUAGUCUGUCGUUCUUCAUACAUUCUGUUUUUGUCUCGUUAUUUUUUCUCUAAAUAAAGAUCUCGCGGGAAAAGGAAGGAAGUGAUCUAAAUUCCUAACAAUAACUUAGAAGACAUUAUUGCAGAAAUUAAAAUUGUUAAGGAAUAAAUGAAGGUGUUUGUUUAUAGGAAAAAGCUGAAGAAACAGGCUCAAUGAUAGGGCACUUUCAGGGACUGACUUGGCAGUUUUUGUUGAAAUUUUUUUAACUGUCAAUGAAAAUAUGUCAAGUGUAUGUCUGUGAAAAACCCUAUCAUUGAACCUGUUUUUCUAGCAGAACUCUUGUUUAUAUGGGAUUGGAAGGAUCUAUGGCGCAAAUAAUCAUUAGUUUUGGUCUAAUGGCUGAUGAUAUUGUUAAUUAUAUGAAAGGCAGUUAAGCACAUAGAUAAAUGACAAGUGAUGAGAUAUGCAUAAUGAUAAUAAUGAUGAUCUUUGAACGUGGCUAAACCAUUAUCAUCAUAAAAAGUUUGCCUGUAUGAUAUUAGGAAGAGUGCUUAAUGCCUAACUGGGCAUUAAUGGAAUUAUCUGUCAGCUUUAUUUUAAGGUUUAAACAAUAUAGAUGGUAAAGAAUUAGAGGUUCAAUAAGGCCAGUCUGUCCAGACCUAGUUGGCAUGGCCCACAUACACAGGCGGGUCAAGAUGGACCCUGGUUGCAAACCAUCAGCCUCAACGGGUCAGCACAUAAUAUCAUUUUGAAUCUCGGAGUGAAAAAGAUGUACGAUACUAUAGAAACAAAGACGAGUAACAUGUAAAUAUGUUACUUACUCUUAAAUUCAAAACGAACUCCUUUGUAAUUGUUCAUUGAACUAUUCUAUUAGUCAUUGACUCAAGUUCCGUUAUUGUUGGAAUUUUGUAUCUAAAAUUGGUUGUGACCAAUUUUACAUAAUUAUUUAAGUGGAAUUCUUAAUUUGGUGAAUGAGAUAUUAAGCAAAAUGUAAAGCCGCUUAAUACUUGAAAUUAUUGAAAAUUGUAUAGAAUAUUGUGGAAUAUUCUAGAAAUAUAUGGAUGAAAAUAUGUGUCUUUUCAUAUGGAGGAUCAUGACUCUUGGUAUAUGUAUGAUUAAUUUUCAAUAAUUAUAAAUUUGAAGAGAUGUAACUCUUGGUAUGGUUGUGUCUUUUGACAUACCUUUCCAACUACUAUAUAUAGACUCCAUAUGUUUGAAUUUUAUCAUUCAAGAAAUUCAAGAAAAGUCAUAGAUACCAUAUCAUUCCAUUCCAAUUUACACUUUGAUUUUGCAUAAAACAUUUGCAUCAAAAUCAUGGUCAUGGUCAUGGUAGAGAGGGAAUUCCGUUCGAGUUCGCUGAUCGAAGUCAUUUGGAGUGCUCCUAUGGCUCGAUGUGAUCGUUGUAUCUUGGGAGAUGAUUUCCGGAGAAUCGUUAGCACUGAUGCGGGCAAAUUCAUGUUAAGGACAAAGUGUCCAACACUUGCCUUGGUCAAAAAUCCGUCAUUUGCAUCUUCUUUCUUCAUUUCCUUAUUCCUUUUUAUUAUGAUUUAAUUUUAGAAAAUGAUUAACGUUAUUUAUAUGUUUAUCCUGUAAGGUUUGAUCCAAAGAAUUACUUUCUUUCAAUCAUGAGUUGAAAGGGAAGAAUUCAUAUUCAUGUAUUCGGAUUCGAUAAAUUCUUAUUUUGUCUUCUCAAAUCCUAUCUCGGUAAGUCGAAAUUAUAUUUCGAUUUCACGCUAAUUAAUAGUAUCUUUUUAUGAAUAUAUUAUGCACAAUUAUCGAUAUAAUUUUUCAACAAUCUUAAGAUGAAUUUUGUGUUGUUGUGCAUAAAAUAUUCUGUUAGAAAUUGAGAUAUAUAUAUAUAUAUAUAUAUAUAUAUAUAUAUAUAUAUAUAUAUAUAUCCGUAUCAUGUAUUGGAAUUUAUGCAUGUUCGACUAGCAUUGUGCACUGCAUCAUUUUAAACUGUUGUAAUCUGGACCGGCUGGUCGGUUAUAUCUCUUAACAAUGUGCUGUGACCUUUAACUCAAUGAGUAUUUUGUGAAUCAGGAAUUUUGAUUGGGCCUUGUGCAAAACUCAAUAUUCUGUCCAUAAGUCUCUAAUUGCACAUCCUUUUGUUUUACGUUCGAGAAUUUGAUAAGUUACGUAUUCAAAUAAACGAAAUUUAUUUGGGAUGAAAAUAGUUUAUUAUAAUGCAUCUUACGGGUUGUCUCCUCCAAUUCUAAUUUCGCAUGUGAACCGAUGCCUGUUGAGUUCCGAAAAAAUCAUUAAGUUGUGAACUUAAUCAUGUUGUAACUACCGACUAUUGUAUUAUGUCGUCCAUUUAUUUAUAAUAUGAUGGAAAGUAAAUUAUUGCAUUGGAAAUCUAUGGAAAGAUGUAAAUAAAUUAUAAAAUACAUGGCUGUCGUCUGUUCCUAAUUACACUCCAUGUGCCAAUCGUAUAUUUGCAUAAGUCUUUGCAUGGUUGGAAUAAUUGCAUGCAAAAUAAUUUAGAUUUGAAAUUAGGUUUAGAAAAUGUUGGAUAUAUGUUGUUUCAAAGGCAAUAAACCUGUGCGUGGAAUGAAGAAGAGAACUGAAAAUCCAUAAAAAAAUGUUUUUGCUUUAAAUCCAUUUAUAAUGAAUUUGCUAUUGGAAAUUACCAAAGUCAUAUUUAUUGAUAUUGAUCAUGUCAAUUAAUAAUAAAGAAUUCAGUUUUCUUUUUCGGUUAAUUGGUGGAAGUUUCAAAAGUGAAACGAGAACAUUUAAGUUGGCCAUGAUGACUGUUCAAAUUCGACUUCAGUUUCCUUCAUCUUUCCAUGUAUAGUUUAUCCUUAUGCAUGUGAUGAUUAUUGCUUAAUAUAUAUAAUUUGCAAAGGAAGUCCACUGAUGAGAGAUUCAAAUAAUUAAUGAUUUAUGAGUAAGAGAAUUAAAAUAUGUCUUACAUGUGGGUAUGUAUCACGAGACCACUUUUGCAUUAGGAAGUUGCCUAAUUUUUCUAGUGCUACUGUGAAACAUUCAAAUCUAGAUUUGUGAUGUGGAUAAUAGUCUCUUGAUGUUUCGUGAGUAUGGAAAAUUAUGUCCAUUCAUUUCAUAGCUGCCAAAUACGGUAGGCUUCCAUAUACGGUAGGCUGCUAAAUACGGUAAGUUGUUAAGCUGCCAAAUACGGUAAGCUGUUAUAUAUGGUAGGCUACCAAAUACGGUAAGUUGGUAAGCUUCCAUAUACGGUAAGUCGCAUAUAUAGUAUGCGUCAAUCUGAUAAGUGAAUAAUAUUAUUUGUGAAAUAUCACAAAUGAGAAAGUUACACAUAUUUAAAGAUGCCUAGUCUUCUUCAUUGUUGAAUUUGACUUCAAUCAUAAAACCAAUUAAAUUGGUAUAUGCUUUAAAAGCAUUGUUGGUCUAUGUGAUGACCUUGAAUACUUUGGAUGGUCAAAUUAAUAUGGUUGAUUGAAGUACAAUUUCGAAUAGAAAUUGAUUUUCAUUUAUGUGUAUCAACGACCACUAUUUUGAAAGUACUCGAACUUUCAAAAAGCCCUCGAUCCGGAGGUUAUCUAAGUGAUAAAUGAUUGAACUAUGAAAGAGUUGAUAAGCUCUAAGUUUAAAAAUAACCCAAAAAAUGUUGGGGUUAUCAUAAAUACUUGAGAACUUAUGUAAAAAGUUCAAGACAUGUGGGUGCAAUACUACUACUUGCAUAUAUUUUCUUAAUUUAGGAAUUGUGGGGGGCAACUUAUUGUAAAGAUAUACUUUUCUGUAUCUCUCAAGAAUAUGGAAGAGACUCCAUAUGAGUUAUGGAAAUGUCGUCAUCUUUCCUACCAACACUUAAAAGUGUGGGGGUGUUUGGCAAAGGUUGAGAUUCAUAAGCCUAAACAAACAAAGAUCGGUCUCAAUACGAUUGAUUGCAUAUUUAUUGGAUAUGCCAAUAAUAGUAGUAUUAGAUGUACACGUGGGUACCAUAAUUGAGUCAAGGAAUGCGAUAUUCUUUGAGAAUAUGUUUCCUUACAAUGACAAGGAAAAUGUAAGAAUAUAUGAAACUUCAACUGGGUCUUCAAAUGAGGAAGAACCAAGUCGUAGUAAGAGGGCUAGAACGUCCACUUCAUUUGGUCUGAAUUUUCUCACAUAUAUGUUAGAAAAUUACCCAAAGACUUUUGAAGAAACAAUGUCUAUUCUGGAAGUACUGCAUUAGAAGGAAGCUAUCAAUAGUGAGAUAGAUCCCAUAAUGCAAAUCCAUACAUAGGAAUUGGUAGAUGUACCUCCCGGAAAUAAGCCUUAGGGUAUAAAUGGAUUAAAAUCUGGUUGAUCCAUUGAUAAAUAUAAGGUUAGAUUGGUUGCCAAAGGAUAUAGGCAAGAAGAUGGAUUUGACUUCUUUACCUAUUCACCUGUAACCAGAAUCACUUCGAUAAUGUUACUAAUUGCAACUACGGCUAUACAUAACCUUGAGAUUCACCAAACGGAUGUGAAAACGAGAUUCCUAAAUGGUGAGUUAGAAGAAGAAAUAUACAUAGAGCAACGUAAAGGUGUCUCCAAGUGAAAGCCACAAAGUUUGUAAACUUGUUGAGUCCUUAUAUGGACUGAAACAAGCUCCUGGCACCAAAAGUUUGAUAAAACGAUGUUGUCAACUGAGCUCAAAAUAAAUGAUUGUGACAAGUGUGUAUGCGUGGAAAAUACACCAGAUGCCGAUGUGUUUGUAUGUAGUCAAUAUGUUGAUGAUGGGCAAUACUCACGAAGUGGUGCUAAACGCUAAGAAAAUGCUUACGAAGCAUUACGACAUGAAAGACUUGGUUGUAGCAGAUGUAAUACUAGAGAUAGAAAUCUCUAGAAUAUCGGAAGGAAUUGUACUUUCCCAAUCUCAUUUGUUGAGAAAAUAUUUAAAAAAUUUUGUGUAUUGACACAAGUCUACACUUGGUCAAAAUAAGGGUGAAAGCAUGUCACAACUGAGAUAUUCACAAGUAAUUAGCAUUCUAAUGUAUAUUACGAAAUGCACUCGAUCGGAUAAUGCUUUAGCUGUGAAUAAACUUAGUAGAUUCACGAGUAAUCCAGGCCAUUAUUAUUGGGUGGCAUUGACACGGGUCCUUAGGUAAUUAAUAUAUACCAUGACCUAUGGAUUACAUUUCACAAGAUAUCAUGCGGUAUUGAAAGGAUAUUGUGAUGCGAUGAAAUACACUAAGUCUAAAGUGGAUAAAAUGGGAUGAAAGCCCUAAAGUGAAUGAAAUGGGAUGAAAGCCGAUCAUGACGGUUGUUUGGAUAUACAAGAACAAUUGGAAUAUUUGAGAAUACUCAUAAAGUUCGAAUGCAUUGCAAUGCUUUAAUGAUGAUAUUAAAUACCCAUGUAUGAAAUCCACUAGUAAAUAUGAUUGAUUAGUGUAACGGUUUGUUAGAAAUCCUCCAACAUUGUUGUUUGGAUUGAUAAAGCUUUAGAUAAAACUAAUGAGAAGCAUGUAGUUUCAUGAGAGAAUUUCUUAGUUGGUGAUAAUGUGUAUCUAUCAAAUGAAUCGAUCGUUGGCUAGCUAAAUUUGAAAAGAUAAUAAGUCACAUAUAAUGGUAAGUCUAGACAUGUAUGUCGUAGACAUAAUACCAUAAGCAGUUGAUCUCAUUGGUGUAAACUUGUGGAUCCAUUUAUAUUUGUUUUCCAAGAGAUCAAGUAUACUGCAUAUCGAAGGAAAUGAAAUUAAGCCUACUGAGUAAGAGUCCUUAUGAUGGUAACCCUACCAUGUUGACUGGAGAUCCCAAAAUCUUGGUUCAAAGGGACAACUAAGUUAUGUAGAUUCUAUGAAGCACUUAGGAAACUAAUUUCCUAACUCAUUCCUAUGAUACCAAAGUGCGAGGUUAAGAUAAAAAUUUUAAUGAUUCCUAUAUCUUGAUUAAGUCAAGUGGAGUAUGGUAGAAUACUCUUAAUAGGAGAUCACCUAUGUAAGUGUGAAGUGGGGCUGUUUCAAUGAAAAUUAUUCGAUGCAUGAAUUAUCUAAACACUUACAGAACCAAGAUGGGUUCAGGGCCAAAAUGAACUAAGUCAUGAGAACCAUGAAUGAUUUAUGGGAGACAUUGUGUGAGUACUGUUGUCUUGGUUUAUACUAACGGCUGAUGGUUCAAGAACAUCGCGUUCACCAAUUAGUUAGUAAAUCUGAUGGUAUUUCACUAAGGAAGGUUCAAAACUAGAAGCUACCUUACCUGAUGCAGUGUUUUCCCGCUCUUUCUCUACUAGUGUCUGCAUAGACAUUUACAUUAAUUUUCAUUCAUGUGGGGGAUUGUUGGAAUUUUGUAUCUAAAAUUGUGACCAAUUUUACAUAAUUUUUUAAGUGGAAUUCUUAAUUUGGUGAAUGAGAAAUUAAGCCAAAUAUAAAGCCGCUUAAUACUUGAAAUUAUUGAAAAAUUGUAUAGAAUAUUGUGGAAUAUUCUAGAAAUAUAUGGAUGAAAGUAUGUGUCUUUUCAUAUGGAGGAUCAUGACUCUUGGUAUAUGUAUGAUUAAUUUCCAAUAAUUAUAAAUUUCAAGAGAUGUGACUCUUGGUAUGGUUGUGUCUUUUAAUAUAUCUUUCCAACUACUAUAUAUAGACCUCAUAUGUUUGAAUUUUAUCAUUCAAGAAAUUCAAGAAAAGUCAUAGAUACCAUAUCAUUCCAUUCCAAUUUACACUUUGGUUUUGCAUAAAACAUUUCCAUCAAAGUCAUGGUCAUAGUCAUGGUCAUGGUCAUGGAAGAGAAGGAAUUACGUUCGAGUUCGCUGGUCGAAAUCAUUUGGAGUGCUCCUAUGGCUCGACGUGGUCGUUGUAUCUUGGAAGAUGAUUGCCGGAGAACUGUUAGCACCGAUGCAGAGCAAAUUCAUCUUAAGGACAAAGUGUCCAACAUUUGCCUCGGCCAAAAAUCCAUCAUUUGCAUCUUCUUUCUUCAUUUCCUGAUUCAUUUUUAUUAUGAUUUGAUUUUAGAAAAUGAUUAACGUUAUUUAUAUGUUUAUCCUGCAAGGUUUGAUCCAAAGAAUUACUUGCUUUCGAUCAUGAGUUGAAAGGGAAGAAUUCAUAUUCGAGUAUUCGGAUUCGAUAAAUUCUUAUUUUGUCUUUUCAAAUCCUAUCUCGAUAAGUCGAAAUUAUAUUUCGAUUUCACGCAAAUUAAUAGUAUGUUUUUAUGAAUAUAUUAUGCACAAUUAUCGAUGUAAUUCUCCAACAAUUACAGCCACGUGAACGAGUCUUAAAAGUUAUUGACACUAUUUUGAGGGAUCGCUCCACUUCUCUUUGUGUGUUUCCCACAUUAUUGUGAUGGCAACUAGCGGUCUUGAAAAAUGAGUGAUGAGAGAUUCUCAUUUAGGAGCUCAGUUAUGAGCACACUGAUCAAUUUAUUUAUUUAUUUAUUUUAUUUUUCCAUUUUUGACAUUAAUUACUUUUUCUUCGUCCUUGCUGCCCAGGCUUUGAUAGUUUAGAAUAAUAGUGGAGAAUUUUCAAAAGAAUGUCUUGUGGAUAAUGUUCAUUAAUAAUCCGUUUGGAAAGAUUUUAUAAGCGGCUUAAUUUAGAAAUAAUUAUAAAUGAGUGAUGAAUAAUACUUAGAGGUCCAUUGAAAUGUGUGAUUGAAAAGAAAGUUUGAUUAUUUAUAGAUAAUUUAUAAUUUUUUUCCAAACAGAUUAGAAAUAAGAAAUAAUGUACUAGAUGGUUCACGAAGAUUUUGUACAAGUUUGCCUGCCUGAUCAAAUGCUGCUGAUGGUGAAAUUUUGGCACUUCUGCUUCUAUACAAGCAGAAAAAUUAUUCAACUUUUAUUCUAUUAGUCAUUGACUCAAGUUCUGUUACACCCACGUGAACGAGUCUUGAAAGUUCUCGACAUUCUUUUGAGCGAUCGCUUCACUUCUUUUCUUGGUCAAACCCUCUUUGUGGUCUCUCUCGUUAUUGUGAUGGUAACUAGCAGUCUUGAAAAAUGAGUGAUGAGAGAUUCUCAUUUAGGAGCACAGUAAGCUCAUUGAUCCUUUUUAUUUAUUUAUUUAUUUUCAUUUUUUACGUUAAUUACUUUUCUUUCGUCUUUAUUGCCAAAGCUUUGAUAGGUCUGAAUAACAGUGGUGCAUAUUCUUGGAGAAAUUUUCAAAAGAAUGACUUGUUGACAUUGUUCAUCAGUAAUUCCUUUUGGAAGAAUUUAAUAAUACGGGUUAUUUUGCCUUUAUUGCCGAUGUUAAAAACUAGAUUGAUGAAACAGUUGCUGAAAUUUGAAUUAAAGUUAUGCCAGUUCUCUUUGACCUUCACUCGUUUGUUGAAUAAGUGAAAUUAGGAUUGGCAAUUCAGUUGUACCAAUCUCCAAUGCUCAAAGUUAUUAAACCCUUGCUUGGUUUAAUUAAAAAAAUUGAUUAAAAUUUAAGUCAAAUUCAAACUCAACAAUAAAUUUUAAAGUAAAACCCCUUGUACACCGAUGUAACACUCCCCUCAUAGAGGGGCCCAUGCCCAAUUAAUGCAGACCCCGUCCCCAUGUGAGGGGACUAUAAGGCUCAGUGUACGUGUAACAUUGUUGUAAAUUUUAACCACAUAUUUUAUAGAACCCAUAUUCAAUUACUUUUUAUCUAAAUCUACUAAAAAUCUAAUUUUUUGCUAAACCAAACAAGGUGAACCCCUUCAAGACACAUCUGACAAAUCUGCCAAGACAUUGCUUUCAUGUUAACGCCGAGCAAAUUUCAAUUACAAAAAGCUUCAAAGCUCAUAACAAAUGCGCAUUCAUACAAAGAACAAAAUGGAGCUUAUGUUUAUUUGCCUAUUUUCCAGUCUCUAUACACUUGCAAGAUAUGCUGAGAAUUGUUUCAGCCCUGCAGUGGUUCUAGAUUUUGCUAAAAUGAAAUUGCAUUUAGUUUAGGGUUCCUUGCAUCUAAUUUUGUAACUACUGUCAAUAAAAAGCACGGACAAAAAUGAGAGUUUUAGAAGUAGUGAACGCUAGUAUAUAUUCUGAGAAGCACGGACAAAAUGUAGCUUCCUCUUAAAACUCCUCUACAAGAAGUAAAAGCAGAUACCCUACCAAAUAGGCCCAUAAUCAUUUACUAACCUACACAUGCUAUAUAAUAUAUGUGAUAUAUAGGAAUAUAUACUUAAGUAUGAUAUAUGCACACCAUAUUCAAUUUAUGACUAAUGCAAUCUACAACAUUAAGCCCCUUAUUUGGCUUAGCUGAAAAAUAAAAUACAUGAAAGAAGUUGAUAAAAAUUCUGAGUCCCAUAAAAUGUAUGGUUAAAAUCAAUUGUUAACUUUGAUAUAAUUUUUUAUCAAGUUUGUAGCUUUACCAAAUGGGCGCUAAGACCAGCUUAUAAAACCUACAAGACAAGCAAAGACAAUGCAACUGGCAGUAUGUAAACAAUCUGCAAGUAAACACGCUUCUCCCAAUUAUCUUACCACAGGGAACAAAAGCUUUGAGAAUAAUAUUUUGCGAAUUGAUCAAUGUGCAUCUUAAAUCGAGAAACAAGGAGCACGGCAAAUACAAGUGAUAUGUAGUGAAAAAACUACUAUCAGAUGCUUAUUAUUACUUGAUUGAAUUAUUAGUUGUAUCUAUCUUCCUAUAUGGCAUAACCAAAGGAAAUUAUUUCAGUUAUAUUAUUACUUUUUAAUCGUUCAUACACUAUAAACAUGAUUGAACAUCAGGUGCAUGUUUCCAAUAUGACAAUAAAAAUUUCAGUCUCUAGAUCAAUAGCAUUGACUUAAUGUCUAUGCUUACCAGCCUAUACAAGUGCAGAGACAGUCCAUCUCUAUGUCCUCCAUUCGCUGUUUAAGGUUUUCGAUAUUAUAGAAGCCCAAGUGUUUUAAGCUGCUGAACAUGCUCCGGGGGAAGGGGUGGGGGAGACCAAUCAGAUCCCGUCAUCUCAUUGUCAACAUCCUCCACAACAUAUUCCUGUUUUUGAAACAGGUGCUUUCCCAAUUAAGAUUAUCGAAUUAGAACUUGAAUUGAGAAAGCUAUAAGUAAACAUAACAAAGCAAAUCUCAUUCUUCAGAGUAAAUGUCUACAACUAUACACAUUUCAGAAUAUGUUUUAUUCUUUAUGUUGGCCUGAAAAUUGAUAAACUUCUACAAUACAUGCUGCUUUGGUUCCCUCAUCAGAGCAUGAACCAAUAGAAAGUAGAAACAGUGACUUACAUAUUAAAUCCGCAUUAAGAUGCAUGCAAAUUUAGAUAUAUUCAGGCAUAGAGAAUCUGCCUUUUGAAGCUUCUAUUAAUGAACUCGUGGGAAGAAAGAGACUGGCCAAUCGCCAGUUUUGGGUCACGGCUUCAGGUCUAUAAGGAGAUCCAGAAUUCCAAAUUAAUUUAUUGGGAAUAAGAACUAUGGUAUCACAACCCAAUUCAGUUUGAAAUUACAUCGCAGCCAGUGUCUGUUGUAACAUUACCCAGCAACUUUACAGCUAUAAAUUAGAGGCCUUCAAUUAUUGCACGCACGUGAGAAAGGAUGAUGUCUUAAGAACUUCCAAAGUUUUUCAAAUAUUGUUCAAAGCACUUUCUUUUAAGAAUGUAUCUGGUUCCAUCUUUCUUUUAUUUGUGUAUUUGCUUCGCCUUUGAACAUUAUAGAUUGAAAUCUUCUUCAAACAUGAUGCACAAAUAGAUAGAAUAGCAUCUCAAAUCAGAGGAGUCAAAAAGAUUAUAUCCCCUUAAUUGAUAAGGUGGACUGCAUACUGCAUAGUAGUAAUAAAAUAUUAAGAAAGAAAAGCGGUUCAUAACUAGUGCAUUGUCCAGUCCAAUCUUGUCUUAAAUUGUGUACCCAACAUGCUCUAUCAGUCUUGUCCAAUGUUGUGUACCCAACAUGUUCUAAGAGAUUCCUCAUCAAUCAUCAUACAAUUGGGUAAAAUGAGUUGACAAAUAGUGGCGAGUUUGCACAUCUGAAUAUCAUCGCAAAAAUAGCAGAUUGAAAUAAAUAAUUAUAAUAAGACAAGGAAAAUAUUUUCAGGACAGAAACACAAGAAUGUAAUUCCGACUCACCUUCGUUAGCAUUCGUUUUGCUAGAAUGUGGUAGUGCCGCUGCCAAAUCCUUUGUCCAACCAUGGUUGCCACCAACACGCUGUAGAAUACACCGAUUACAGUAAAUAGUCCCAACAUAAUUAAAGCCAUUAUGAAUAAUAAGGGUAACCCAGCUUCGCCGGCAGCUCCCAGGCAACCACAUUCACCAGCUGCACUAGCACAGCUUUCAAAGCACGUGGUACAGUCGGUCCACAUACAAAGAGUGCCAUGCAAAUGGCAAUCAGCACAC